rnacentral:lncRNA from 1 species
AUGGCUAUUUUCAUAAAAAAUGGGGGUUGUGUGGCCAUUUAUCAUCGACUAGAGGCUCAUAAACCUCACCCCACAUAUGUUUCCUUCCCAUAGAUCACAUUCUUGGAUUUCUGGUGGAACCAUUUCUUGGUCAAAAACUCGUACGUGUUAGCCUUCGGUAUUAUUGAAAAUGGUCGUUCAUGGCUAUUUUCGGCAAAAUGGGGGUUGUGUGGCCAUUGAUCAUCGACCAGAGGCUCGUACACCUCACCCCACAUAUGUUUCCUUGCCAUAGAUCACAUUCUUGGAUUUCUGGUGGAGACCAUUUCUUGGCAAAAAUCCGAAUGUGUUGCCUUGGUAUUUUUGAAAAUGGUCAUUCAUGGCUAUUUUCGACAAAAAUGGGGGUUGUGUGGCCAUUGAUCUCGACCAGAGGCUCAUACACCUCACUACACAUAUGUUUCCUUGCCAUAGAUCACAUUCUUGGAUUUUGGUGGAGACCAUUUCUUGGUCAAAAUCUGAAUGUUAGCCUUCGGUACUAUUGAAAAUGGUCGUUCAUGGCUAUUUUCGACAAAAAUGGGGGUUGUGUGGCCAUUGAUCAUCGACCAGAGGCUCGUACACUUCACCCCACAUAUGUUUCCUUGCCAUAGAUCACAUUCUUGGAUUUCUGGUGGAGACCAUUCCUUGGUCAAAAAUCGUGGUGUUAGCCUUCGGUAUUAUUGAAAAUGGUCGUUCAUGGCUAUUUUCGACUAAAAUGGGGGUUGUGUGGCCAUUUAUCAUCGACCAGAGGCUGCAAAUCACCCCACAUAUGUUUCCUUGCCAUAGAUCACAUUCUUGUUUUCUGGUGGAGACCAUUUCUUGGUCAAAAAUCCGUACGUGUUAGCCUUCGGUAUUAUUGAAAUGGUCAUUCAUGGCUAUUUUCGACAAAAAUGGGGGUUGUGUGGCCAUGAUCAUCGACCAGAGGCUCGUACACCUCACCCCACAUAUGUUUCCUUGCCAUAGAUCACAUUCUUGGAUUUCUGGUGGAGACCAUUUCUUGGUCAAAAAUCGUACGUGUUAGCCUUUAGUAUUAUUGAAAAUGGUCAUUCAUGGCUAUUUUCGACAAAAUGGGGUUGUGUGGCCAUUGAUCAUCGACCAGAGGCUCAUAACCUCACCCCAAUAUGUUUCCUUGCCAUAGAUCACAUUCUUGGAUUUCUGGUGGAGACCAUUUCUUGGUCAAAAAUCCGUAGGUGUUAGCCUUCGGUAUUAUUGAAAAUGGUCGUUCAUGGCUAUUUUCGACAAAAAAUGGGGGUUGUGUGGCCAUUGAUCAUCGACCAAGGCUCAUACACCUCACCCACAUAUGUUUCCUUGCCAUAGAUCACAUUCUUGGAUUUCUGGUGGAGACCAUUUCUUGGUCAAAAAUCCGUAGGUGUUAGCCUUCGUAUUAUUGAAAAUGGUCGUUCAUGGCUAUUUUCGACAAAAAUGGGGUUGUGUGGCCAUUGAUCAUCGACCAGAGGCUCAUACACCUCACCCCACAUAUGUUUCUUGCCAUAGAUCACAUUCUUGGAUUUCUGGUGGAGACCAUUUCUUGGUCUAAAAUCCGUAGGUGUUAGCCUUCGGUAUUAUUGAAAAUGGUCGUUCAUGGCUAUUUUCGACAAAAUGGGGGUUGUGUGGCCAUUUAUCAUCGACCAGAGGCUCAUACACCUCACCCACAUAUGUUUCCUUGCCAUAGAUCACAUUCUUGGAUUUCUGGUGGAGACCAUUUCUUGGUCAAAAAUCCGUACGUGUUAGCCUUCGGUAUUAUUGAAAAUGGUCGUUCAUGCUAUUUUCGACAAAAAUGGGGUUGUGUGGCCAUUGAUCACGACUAGAGGCCAUACACCUCACCCCACAUAUGUUUCCUUGCCAUAGAUCACAUUCUUGGACUUAUGGUGGAGACCAUUUCUUGGUCAAAAAUCCAUAGGUGUUAGCCUUCAGUGUCAUUGAAAAUGGUCGUUCAUGGCUAUUUUCGACAAAAAUGGGGGUUGUGUGGCCAUUGAUCAUCGACCAAGGCUCAUACACCUCACCCCACAUAUGUUUCCUUGCCAUAGAUCACAUUCUUGGAUUUCUGGUGGAGACCAUUUCUUGGUCAAAAAUCCGUAGUGUUAGCCUUCGGUAUUAUUGAAAAUGGUCGUUCAUGGCUAUUUUCGACAAAAAUGGGGGUUGUGUGGCCAUUGAUCAUCGACCAGAGGCUCAUACACCUCACCCCACAUAUGUUUCCUUGCCAUAGAUCACAUUCUUGGAUUUCUGGUGGAGACCAUUUCUUGGUCAAAAAUCCGUAGGUGUUAGCCUUCGUAUUAUUGAAAAUGUCGUUCAUGGCUAUUUUCGACAAAAAUGGGGGUUGUGUGGCCAUUUAUCAUCGACCAGAGGCUCGUACACCUCACCCCACAUAUGUUUCCUUGCAUAGAUCACAUUCUUGGAUUUCUGGUGGAGACCAUUUCUUGGUCAAAAAUCGUAGUGUUAGCCUUCAGUAUUAUUGAAAAUGGUCGUUCAUGGCUAUUUUCGACAAAAUGGGGGUUGUGUGGCCAUUGAUCAUCGACCAGAGGCUCGUACACCUCACCCACAUAUGUUUCCUUGCCAUAGAUCACAUUCUUGGAUUUCUGGUGGAGACCAUUUCUUGGUCAAAAAUCCGUAGGUGUUAGCCUUCGGUAUUAUUGAAAAUGGUCAUUCAUGGCUAUUUUCGACAAAAAUGGGGGUUGUGUGGCCAUUGAUCUCGACCAGAGCUCAUACACCUCACUCACAUAUGUUUCCUUGCCAUAGAUCACAUUCUUGGAUUUUGGUGGAGACCAUUUCUUGGUCAAAAAUCCGUAGGUGUUAGCCUUCGUAUUAUUGAAAAUGGUCGUUCAUGGCUAUUUUCGACAAAAAUGGGGGUUGUGUGGCCAUUGAUCAUCGACCAGAGGCUCAUACACCUCACCACAUAUGUUUCCUUGCCAUAGAUCACAUUCUUGGAUUUCUGGUGGAGACCAUUUCUUGGUCAAAAAUCCGUAGGUGUUAGCCUUCGGUAUUAUUGAAAAUGGUCGUUCAUGGCUAUUUUCGACAAAAUGGGGGUUGUGUGGCCAUUGAUCAUCGACCAGAGGCUCGUACACCUCACCCCACAUAUGUUUCCUUGCCAUAGAUCACAUUCUUGGAUUUCUGGUGGAGACCAUUUCUUGGUCAAAAAUCGUACGUGUUAGCCUUCGUAUUAUUGAAAAUGGUCAUUCAUGGCUAUUUUCGACAAAAAUGGGGGUUGUGUGGCCAUUGAUCAUCGACCAGAGGCUCAUACACCUCACCCCACAUAUGUUUCCUUGCCAUAGAUCACAUUCUUGGAUUUCUGGUGGAGACCAUUUCUUGGUCAAAAAUCGUAGUUUAGCCUUCGGUAUUAUUGAAAAUGGUCGUUCAUGGCUAUUUUCGACAAAAAUGGGGGUUGUGUGGCCAUUGAUCAUCGACCAAGGCUCAUACACCUCACCCACAUAUGUUUCCUUGCCAUAGAUCACAUUCUUGGAUUUUGGUGGAGACCAUUUCUUGGUCAAAAAUCCGUAGGUGUUAGCCUUCAGUGUAUUGAAAAUGGUCGUUCAUGGCUAUUUUCGACAAAAAAUGGGGUUGUGUGGCCAUUGAUCAUCGACCAGAGGCUCAUACACUCACCCCACAUAUGUUUCCUUGCCAUAGAUCACAUUCUUGGAUUUCUGGUGGAGACCAUUUCUUGGUCAAAAUCCGUAGGUGUUAGCCUUCGGUAUUAUUGAAAAUGGUCGUUCAUGGCUAUUUUCGACAAAAAUGGGGUUGUGUGGCCAUUGAUCAUCGACCAGAGGCUCAUACACCUCACCCACAUAUGUUUCCUUGCCAUAGAUCACAUUCUUGGAUUUUGGUGGAGACCAUUUCUUGGUCAAAAAUCGUAGGUGUUAGCCUCUGGUAUUAUUGAAAAUGGUCGUUCAUGGCUAUUUUCACAAAAAUGGGGGUUGUGUGGCCAUUUAUCAUCGACCAGAGGCUCAUAACCUCACCCCACAUAUGUUUCCUUGCCAUAGAUCACAUUCUUGGAUUUCUGGUGGAGACCAUUUCUUGGUCAAAAAUCGUACGUGUUAGCCUUCGGUAUUAUUGAAAAUGGUCGUUCAUGGCUAUUUUCGGCAAAAUGGGGGUUGUGUGGCCAUUGAUCAUCGACCAGAGGCUCAUACACCUCACCCCACAUAUGUUUCCUUGCCAUAGAUCACAUUCUUGGAUUUCUGGUGGAGACCAUUUCUUGGUCAAAAAUCCGUAGUGUUAGCCUUCGGUAUUAUUGAAAAUGGUCAUUCAUGGCUAUUUUCGACAAAAAUGGGGGUUGUGUGGCCAUUGAUCAUCGACCAGAGGCUCAUACACCUCACCCCACAUAUGUUUCCUUGCCAUAGAUCACAUUCUUGGAUUUUGGUGGAGACCAUUUCUUGGUCAAAAAUCCGUAGGUGUUAGCCUUCGUAUUAUUGAAAAUGGUCGUUCAUGGCUAUUUUCGACAAAAAUGGGGGUUGUGUGGCCAUUGAUCAUCGACCAGAGGCUCAUACACUCACCCCACAUAUGUUUCCUUGCCAUAGAUCACAUUCUUGGAUUUCUGGUGGAGACCAUUUCUUGGUCAAAAAUCGUAGGUGUUAGCCUUCGGUAUUAUUGAAAAUGGUCGUUCAUGGCUAUUUUCGACAAAAUGGGGGUUGUGUGGCCAUUGAUCAUCGACCAGAGGCUCAUACACCUCACCCCACAUAUGUUUCCUUGCCAUAGAUCACAUUCUUGGAUUUCUGGUGGAGACCAUUUCUUGGUCAAAAAUCCGUAGGUGUUAGCCUUCGGUAUUAUUGAAAAUGGUCAUUCAUGGCUAUUUUCGACAAAAAUGGGGGUUGUGUGGCCAUUGAUCAUCGACCAGAGGCUCAUACACCUCACCCCACAUAUGUUUCCUUGCCAUAGAUCACAUUCUUGGAUUUCUGGUGGAGACCAUUUCUUGGUCAAAAAUCGUAGGUGUUAGCCUUCGUAUUAUUGAAAAUGGUCGUUCAUGGCUAUUUUCGACAAAAUGGGGGUUGUGUGGCCAUUGAUCAUCGACCAGAGGCUCAUACACCUCACCCCACAUAUGUUUCCUUGCCAUAGAUCACAUUCUUGGAUUUCUGGUGGAGACCAUUUCUUGGUCAAAAAUCCGUACGUGUUAGCCUUCGGUAUUAUUGAAAAUGGUCGUUCAUGGCUAUUUUCGACAAAAAUGGGGGUUGUGUGGCCAUUGAUCAUCGACCAGAGGCUCGUACACCUCACCCCACAUAUGUUUCCUUGCCAUAGAUCACAUUCUUGGAUUUCUGGUGGAGACCAUUUCUUGGUCAAAAAUCCGUAGUGUUAGCCUUCGGUAUUAUUGAAAAUGGUCGUUCAUGGCUAUUUUCGACAAAAAUGGGGGUUGUGUGGCCAUUGAUCAUCGACCAGAGGCUCAUACACCUCACACACAUAUGUUUCCUUGCCAUAGAUCACAUUCUUGGAUUUAUGGUGGAGACCAUUUCUUGGUCAAAAAUCCGUAGGUGUUAGCCUUCAGUGUCAUUGAAAAUGGUCGUUCAUGGCUAUUUUCGACAAAAAUAGGGUUGUGUGGCCAUUGAUCGUCGACCAGAGGCUCAUACACCUCACCCCACAUAUGUUUCCUUGCCAUAGAUCACAUUCUUGGAUUUCUGGUGGAGACCAUUUCUUGGUCAAAAAUCCGUAGGUGUUAGCCUUCGGUAUUAUUGAAAAUGGUCGUUCAUGGCUAUUUUCGACAAAAAUGGGGGUUGUGUGGCCAUUGAUCAUCGACCAGAGGCUCAUACACCUCACCCCACAUAUGUUUCCUUGCCAUAGAUCACAUUCUUGGAUUUCUGGUGGAGACCAUUUCUUGGUCAAAAAUCCGUAGGUGUUAGCCUCUAGUAUUAUUGAAAAUGGUCGCUCAUGGCUAUUUUCAUAAAAAAUGGGGGUUGUGUGGCCAUUUAUCAUCGACUAGAGGCUCAUAACCUCACCCCACAUAUGUUUCCUUGCCAUAGAUCACAUUCUUGGAUUUCUGGUGGAGACCAUUUCUUGGUCAAAAACUCGUACGUGUUAGCCUUCGGUAUUAUUGAAAAUGGUCGUUCAUGGCUAUUUUCGGCAAAAUGGGGGUUGUGUGGCCAUUGAUCAUCGACCAGAGGCUCGUACACCUCACCCCACAUAUGUUUCCUUGCCAUAGAUCACAUUCUUGGAUUUCUGGUGGAGACCAUUUCUUGGCAAAAAUCCGAGUGUUAGCCUUGGUAUUUUGAAAAUGGUCAUUCAUGGCUAUUUUCGACAAAAAUGGGGGUUGUGUGGCCAUUGAUCUUCGACCAGAGGCUCAUACACCUCACCACAUAUGUUUCCUUGCCAUAGAUCACAUUCUUGGAUUUUGGUGGAGACCAUUUCUUGGUCAAAAAUCGUAGGUGUUAGCCUUCGUGUAUUGAAAAUGGUCGUUCAUGGCUAUUUUCGACAAAAAUAGGGUUGUGUGGCCAUUGAUCGUCGACCAGAGGCUCAUACACCUCACCCCACAUAUGUUUCCUUGCCAUAGAUCACAUUCUUGGAUUUCUGGUGGAGACCAUUUCUUGGUCAAAAAUCCGUAGGUGUUAGCCUUCGGUAUUAUUGAAAAUGGUCGUUCAUGGCUAUUUUCGACAAAAAUGGGGGUUGUGUGGCCAUUGAUCAUCGACCAGAGGCUCAUACACCUCACCCCACAUAUGUUUCCUUGCCAUAGAUCACAUUCUUGGAUUUCUGGUGGAGACCAUUUCUUGGUCAAAAAUCCGUAGGUGUUAGCCUUAGUAUUAUUGAAAAUGGUCGUUCAUGGCUAUUUUCAUAAAAAUGGGGGUUGUGUGGCCAUUAUCAUCGACUAGAGGCUCAUAACCUCACCCCACAUAUGUUUCCUUGCCAUAGAUCACAUUCUUGGAUUUCUGGUGGAGACCAUUUCUUGGUCAAAAAUCCGUAGGUGUUAGCCUUCGGUAUUAUUGAAAAUGGUCGUUCAUGGCUAUUUUCGACAAAAAUGGGGGUUGUGUGGCCAUUUAUCAUCGACCAGAGGCUCAUACACCUCACCCCACAUAUGUUUCCUUGCCAUAGAUCACAUUCUUGGAUUUCUGGUGGAAACCAUUUCUUGGUUAAAAACUCGUACGUGUUAGCCUUCGUAUUAUUGAAAAUGGUCUUCAUGGCUAUUUUCGACAAAAAUGGGGGUUGUGUGGCCAUUGAUCAUCGACCAGAGGCUCAUAACCUCACCCCACAUAUGUUUCCUUGCCAUAGAUCACAUUCUUGGAUUUCUGGUGGAGACCAUUUCUUGGUCAAAAAUCGUAGUGUUAGCCUUCGGUAUUAUUGAAAAUGGUCGUUCAUGGCUAUUUUCGACAAAAAUGGGGGUUGUGUGGCCAUUGAUCUCGACCAGAGGCUCAUACACCUCACCCACAUAUGUUUCCUUGCCAUAGAUCACAUUCUUGGAUUUUGGUGGAGACCAUUUCUUGGUCAAAAAUCCGUAGGUGUUAGCCUUCAAUUAUUGAAAAUGGUCGUUCAUGGCUAUUUUCGACAAAAAUGGGGGUUGUGUGGCCAUUGAUCAUCGACCAGAGGCUCAUACACUCACCCCACAUAUGUUUCUUGCCAUAGAUCACAUUCUUGGAUUUCUGUGGAGACCAUUUCUUGGUCAAAAAUCGUGGUGUUAGCCUUCGGUAUUAUUGAAAAUGGUCGUUCAUGGCUAUUUUCGACAAAAUGGGGGUUGUGUGGCCAUUAUCAUCGACCAGAGGCUCAUACACCUCACCCCACAUAUGUUUCCUUGCCAUAGAUCACAUUCUUGGAUUUCUGGUGGAGACCAUUUCUUGGUCAAAAAUCCGUAGGUGUUAGCCUUCGGUAUUAUUGAAAAUGGUCGUUCAUGGCUAUUUUCACAAAAAUGGGGGUUGUGUGGCCAUUAUCAUCGACAGAGGCUCGUACACCUCACCCCACAUAUGUUUCCUUGCCAUAGAUCACAUUCUUGGAUUUCUGGUGGAGACCAUUUCUUGGUCAAAAAUCGUACGUGUUAGCCUUCGGUAUUAUUGAAAAUGGUCGUUCAUGGCUAUUUUGACAAAAUGGGGUUGUGUGGCCAUUGAUCAUCGACCAGAGGCUCGUACACCUCACCCCACAUAUGUUUCCUUGCCAUAGAUCACAUUCUUGGAUUUCUGGUGGAGACCAUUUCUUGGCAAAAAUCCGUGUGUUAGCCUUCGGUAUUUUGAAAAUGGUCAUUCAUGGCUAUUUUCGACAAAAAUGGGGUUGUUGGCCAUUGAUCUCGACCAGAGGCUCAUACACUCACACACAUAUGUUUCCUUGCCAUAGAUCAAUUCUUGGAUUUUUGUGGACCAUUUUGGUUCAAAAACCUUGUAGCUGUUUCAUUGACAAGCUCAUCAUAGCUUGUUUCUUCAUGUCAACAAUAGAAUGACGUUAGUCCAUUCUGUCAUUGUUGAACUUUAUAAGGGCAUAUGUAAUUCCUUACAGGCUAUGUCCUUGCUUAUAAAUAGUGACAGUAUUCCUUACUGUUCACGCAUUCUGUAAUUGCAAACACAUCACUCGGUAUUAUUUGUCAGGCAUAUAAAUGUACCUAACAUUAUGUUCUACAUUUUAGAUUCAUAUAGAAGAUAUGUGAAUGAUGUCAUCUAUUUCUAUAUAUGUAUCUUUAUGUUUCAUUUUUAUAUUUUUGUAUUUUUUGUAGUAUAAUCAAAAGGUAUACCUUCGGAUAUUCUAUGUGGUCUUGUCCAAAGUCAUUAAUCCUUGGGAGAUAAUGCUUCAGGAAGAAGGCAUUAAUUUUAACAUUUAUGUUGCCUUGUUCUUAUUCAUAGCUUUGAGAACAAGUCCCAACAUUGGCCCACCUCCGGACUCACUUCCAUUUCCUGAGACAAUGGCUUGUUCAGACCAAGUGGAACUGCUUCGGCUCCGAAGUUGAUUCUCCGAUAACAGCGUUCAUGCUCAGAGCCGGCUAACAAAACAGAAAAGAGCACAGAGAAGAGUACACAUGUGGUUGGGGGCCUUCGUCCUCCGAAGGUCCUCAAAAACAUGAUUUGACAAUGUUUUCCAAGUGGAUUAUGUGAACAGGUACCUUCGGACUCAGAAUUACGAACAUGAAGUGCGGUCAGGACGAAGCCUGAACCAGACGAAGGACGGGCUGAUUACCAAGCUCCACGAAGGAUGGUGCACAGCCGAAGCUGUGCGCAGGGAAGCUUCGUCGCGAUAGCAGAGAGGGGAACCGACUUAAAGAUGAAAAGACUACGUGGGCCUUGUCAGAUUUCCAUAAGUCAUUGACAAAUGUAAUGGACAUAAAUGUAAUUUUACGUGGGCUGCGUCCCGCGUCUAUAAAUAGAUGAACAGUACUCCCGUACUGUUCACGCUGACUUGGCAUUUGCUUUUGCGUCACGCUUGUACUUUUUAUCUUCUCUCAGGACCGAAGGUACAUUUGUAAUUUGAAAUCAUUUCUAUUUUUCCAUGUUAAUAAAAUAGAAAUGAUUCUAUGAUGAUGCUUAUAUUAUAUUUCAUGCUUUAUAUGAAUCCUUCGUCAUUACUUGUUAUGUUUACGAAGGUAUGUCUCUUAUGACCUCCGUCCGAAACUCAUUAUUUCCCGAAGGGACAUAAUGCUUCGAAGGACGAAGGACUUUAACACUUAACACUUUUUAUGUUGCCUUGUUCUUAACCCUUAGCAUUUGAGAACAAGUCCCCAACAUUGGCGCCCACCUCCGGUGAACUCACUUCCACUUCGAGUUUUUUGAACACCUUCGGAAGCUAUAGACCCUCGCUAUGGCGCCGAAGAAAGCUUCAGCGACUGGGGCUGCAGCACUGCAACCGCUGGACCCCAACCAGGAGACCGUCUCUCUCCGGGAGGCCCGAAACCAGAAGAGGAAGGCUGUCAGCCCGACGAUUCAGGAGGAUGAACUAGACCAAGAGAUCAGGGACAUGGAGAUGCUACAUCAACAGGUGCAGAGGAAGAAGGAGAAGAUGGCCAGGCUAGCUGAGCUGCAGAGGCAGAUAGACGAAGCUUCUGAAGAAGUCCGUCAUCUUACCCACGAUGAGCAGAACCGAAGGCCUCAACAAAAAGACCUUCAUCAGGAGGGCUUCUUCAAUGAAGAUGACUGGUAUGACAAUUUCAUCAUGGAAAUUUUGUUUUCGACGAUGCUUCUCCUCUGUCCGCUGAGCUGCAGGCUACACCUUGGCCUUCGUCCUAUAAGCCACCCCAGCUUCCCAUGUUCGAUGGCCAUUCGGACCCGAAGCAGUUCUUGAUGAGUUACGAAGCAACAGUGUCUUCGUAUGGUGGCAAUGCUGCAGUAAUGGCAAAGUCUUUCGUUAUGGCCGUCAGGAGUGUUGCUCAGACCUGGUAUUCCUCCCUUCGGCCAGGAACGAUCACUUCAUGGCAGAAGCUGAAGGAUAUGUUAUUGACCAGCUUUCAAGGAUUUCAGACGAAGCCGGUCACUGCUCAAGCCUUGUUCCAGUGCACUCAGGAUCAUGAAGAAUACCUUCAGGCGUAUGUCAGAAGGUUCUUGCGUUUGAGGGCGCAGGCACCAACGGUGCCCAAUGAAAUUGUCAUCGAAGCCAUGAUCAAGGGGCUUCGUCCUGGACCUGCUGCUCAAUACUUUGCUAGGAAGCCUCCUCAGACCCUGGAGAAGCUGCUCCAAAAGAUGGACGAGUACAUUCGUGCUGACAAUGACUUUCGCCAAAGAAGGGAGGAGGCCUUCAGAUUUUCUGAAAUGACCAGGGGCUUCGGAGGAAGAUCCUAUCCGAGGCAUGUCAGGUCCAUCCACAACUCCACUCAGAAUGAUGAUAAGGGGAGUCAGCAGAACAGACCGCAGUGCUCCUCACAGGCUUCGGGGCAACAGCAAAGCUCCUUCCGACCACCAGCUCCAAGAGGCAGAGGCGCCAGGGGCUUCGGCGGAAGAUUCGGGGAUCAACCCAGAAGAAUAUUUUGCUUAUUCUGUGGUGAAAACAAAGGUCAUACUACCAGGAUGUGUCAUGUUACCAUUCAGAAGCAAAAAGAGAUAGCCGAAGCUGCCGCGCAACAGGCUCAGCCGAAGCAGGUCAUGCACACUGCUUCGUAUCAUUCGCCCUACAUCCCAGAAUAUGUGGGCAACCAUCCUACAGUCUCUGCUGCUUCGGCAAGUCAGCCUUCAGCUUCCUGGCAACAGCCCCCGCCUCCACCUCCGUUGCAACAAGGCCAGCAGCCAGAAGGGAGCCAAUAUGCUCCACAUCAAAGGGACUUCAGAGAACAGUCCGAAGCUCGCACGGUCAACAGCACCGUGCCAGAGUCAAAACACAUCUAUUGACAAAUAUCCUACCUUAAUAGCAAUCUUUUUCAUUCAGUUUUAUUUUUUCUAAUAAAGGACAUUGUUUAGGUUUCAUGUAAUUAGUUUCGUUGAUUCCUACAAGAAAAAUAUGUUUUCUUCACAGGUUUGUGAUAAUAAAAAGGACCUUCGGACUAUCGAAAAUCCUUCGAAGCAACAAAAAGUCGUUCUAUGGAACGCAGAGUAAGUCUGACGAAGUCACAAAAAGUCGUUCCGAAGGGAGCGCAGUGUAAGUUUUCUGCUCCAAAGUCGUUCCAAAAGGAAUGCAGAGCAUACAGCGAAAAGUCAACGCUGAUACCGCCUAAGUAAAAGGCGAAGAAGCUCCAAAGACGUUCCUAAGGGAAUGCAGAGCUUAUACCGCCUAAGUAAAAGGCGAAGAAGUUCCAAAGACGUUCCUAAGGGGAUGCAGAACUUACAGCGAAAAAUAAACGCUGAUUCCGCUGAAGUAAAAGGCGAAGAAGCUCCUAAGGGAGGCUUAUAAUGAAAAAGUCAGUAUUGAUACAAAAGAUUGUGCCCCAUUGCAGGAAUGUGUGUAUCUUCGGCACAAAAUAUCAUUUUGCAUAACAUAACAUCAUCACAUCAUUUUGCAUAGCAUAAUCAUCAUACAUCAUGCUGCAUGUGGCACAAGAAGGGGGCAUGUUAUCGAUAUUCGGAAAAUGCUUUGAAAAAGGGCAAAUCAUGCCAAGUUACAGGGAGAAACAAUAUUGAUUUUCGAGGUAUAGCUUCGGAGAUUAUUUUUACGAAGCUUGGAUAUUUCUUAUCAGAACACUAUGGAUAUUGUCGUGAUAAAUGAUAAAUUCUUCUUCACGAAGCAUGAAAAGAAGGGAAGGUGUUUUUUCGUCGAAGACUCAAAAAUGGUACGUGUUUAAAGUUUCAUGCAUCGUAAAGAAUUGAAUCAUAAAACAAGUAUAUUACAUACAGGAUUACAGAAUAUUACACAAAUCAUAUAUCAAAUGUUUUUUGUAAUAGCACUUAGUCUUCCCUAAGUACUAUCUCUGCAGCUUCGUUCAGCAGUCGAUCGACAACCUGAUCCAUGAUAGCUUCGGCCAUCUUUUUAAUUUCGUCGUCAUCUUUAGGCUGAGGGCCCGAAGAUGCUUUAGUAGGAUCUGAGUGAGGACGGGAUACUAUUACAUCAUUAUUACAGAUCGCGAACGAACUAUAAAAUUAAAAGUUAUAAUGCAAUGAAAACUAUUCGUUAGUACCUAUUUGCCCUUCGGGCUCUGCGUUUUUCUCAGCAGCCUCGGCUACUUUUCUAGCCUCAUGAAUCCCUUUCUCGCUUUUCUGAAUGAUUUCUUGGGCCAUUUCUCUACCACCGUUGUCCCAGAUGUCGGUGAAAAAUUUUCCCCCAACCGCGCUAGCUUCGGCUGAAGGAUCUUUUAUAUCUUCAGUGGACAAGGUGGCUUCGGACUGCGAUAAAAUCUUUACAUGUUCACAUCCUUUCCCCUCCAAAAUAGUGGCAAUCCCUCUGGCACCAGAAAAAGCGCAGAUGUCUCCGCGACUAUUUAAAAUUUCUUCAAAGGCCUCCGCCUCAUGAUUGAUCCAUUCCAGGGGACCUUCGGGGUUACCUCUUAUAAAGUUUUCUUCUUGCGAAAAUGCGCCAACGCUGGCGAAGCUAGUUUUUAUUUUCUUGACACACUCUAUAGAUUUGUCGAAGCAUUUCUUCUUGGCUGACCGAAGCUCUUUAACAGUUUCUUCUAAAUGAUUUGCCAUUGGUCGCUGAGUUCUCGCCUUGUUUCUUCAAGUAUGCAUUCCUCUUUAGCUCUGGCUAAUUGUUUACGAAGGUGUUCAAUUUCACACUUCUGAGCUUCGGCCUGACCUUUGAAAAUAGCUUCGUCUUCUUUUAUUUUAUUUAUUAAGGAAUACAAUAUUUUGUCUUUUUCGAGACCUUCGUUCCUCAGUUCAAUUACUUCGGAACGAAGGUUGCUCAGGGCUAUAGUACAUCCUUCGUCCUCAGCAUCUUUCUGUGCUCUGAGGGCAUUGCUGAGUAUCAGGCCCUGCAGACAGGAAUAUGUCUGUGUUAAUAGUUUUAAACAAACGAAAAAUCUUGAACUCAACAAAAAUAUAACAAUUCCAUUUGUCGCACCUUUAAACUGUUGUAAGCUAGGCUGUCAGCCAGAUCGUUCUUUGACAGCACCGAAAGUCCGUCUUCUAAAGUUGGGAAUCCGAAGCUUCUGCUUAUCUCCCGACAGACAGAAAUUUCCUUGCUGUCGGGGAGGCAAUACAAGAAAUCUUCUUCUCCACUGCCAUUAAAUAUCAACGCCCCCUUUGGAUAUUUCAACUUUUGGGCAUAGUGUUGGGCCUCUUGUUCUUCUUUUUCUGAUAAUUUUUUCCCCGAAGCAUGACGAAAAAUAUAAUCACGAAUUUUGGGGGAUGCUUCGGGGGUAACAACACCAGUUCCUUCAGCAAAAGUUGGCUUUGUUAUUUUUUCUGCCUCACUUUCCAAGGUUUUUGCCUUUGUGGAUUCUGAGGGCCCAGCUUCGGCUUCAAUUUCUUGCUCUGGAGCUGCAGAACCAGAAAUUUCAGCUGUUGUUUCAAAAGUAACAGCAGCCUUCUUCGGAGGUGUGCUUGAAGUCUUAAUUGUUUCUAGUACAUCUAGCACAUUCGCCAUUCUUCUUCUUUUUGGAGUCAUUGCUGGCGCUUUUUGAUUUUUUGUUGUCUCAACAUUUGCUGCAGGACUCACAAUUUCUGGUACUUUUUCUUCAGUUGGUUUUUCCACUUCUGCAAUUUUUUCUGUGGAUAGUGCUUCGGCCAUUUCUUUGGUUUCUGGCAGCGAAACCUUUGGUUCUUUUAGUUCUAUCUUCUUCGCCGUUUCGGUCAUCUCUGCAGCUGCAGGUGGCGUGACUGGUCUGAUUGGCUUUUCAGCUUCGGUGACCGAAGAAGAUUUUUCGGUAAACUCCGGCACCGAAGCUGGUUCGAUAUAACGCGGCCGGUAAGUGAGGAUUUUUAUUUUCUUUCUUUGAGGCUCCGGCUCGCUAGGAGCAGUUCCAGCUUCUUCUUUUGCAGAGGUUAUGUUCUUCCUUUUCUGCCUUCGGAUGGGGUAGCAAUAGUCAGGGUAAACAAACCCGAUGGCAUCAAAUACCCGAUUCAGCCUUUUCUUUUUUCGGCCUCCGAAGGCUGCUGACAUUGCAGUAUCUUCGGCCUUCGAGUAUGUCCCAAGCAGCUCAUCACUUAAAUUGUCAAUGCUUUUCAACCACUCAUCGUCUGGCUCAAUAAAUUUAUCUUCAAAUUUAAAAGUGUACUUAAACCUGACAAGUCCACCUUCGUCGGCCUUUUUAACGAUUUCUUGUGGCAUUUCCCAUUUCUCCGCAAGCGGCCACACCCUGAAGGCAAUAUGCUCUUGUACUAAGUCCCUUGUUCCUAUAAAAGAGCAGACAACGCCGAAGGCUCUUUGGCACUCUUCGGCGGCUUCGUUCAUUUCAACCUUCGGCCUCCGAAGGCCGAAGCUUUGCCAAAUAGGACGCAUAAUUAUACCUUUGAUGUCUUCUCGUGCUGAUAAGUCAUUCUUCACAUAAAACCAUUCUGUCAUCCAAUCCCCGGGCCAUCUCUUCCGAAAGGUUGGUACGGGACAGCUUGCCCCGGAGCGAGAGACGAAGCUGUAGCAGCCAAAGUUAUUGUGGUACUGUUCUUUGCCCCAAGGCUUUGUUUCAUAUAAUAAUUCAUGUAUAUUACAGAAGCUUCUUGCGUCAGGCUUCAGACCUUGGCUUCUCGAGGCCCACACGAAGAUAUUUAGCCUUAUAAUAGCCUCUGGAGUAAGUUGAUGAAGAUAGACUUCGAAGAUUUUCAAUACCUCCACGACGAAGCUGCUCAAGGGGAAUCGUAAUCCGGCUUUCAAAAAGCUUCGGUAUACCACAACUUCAUUUUCUUCAGGGUGUGGACAAGUCUUUUCCCCUUCGUUCGCCCUCACAAUGGACAGAUCCCGGAAAUACCUUCCUCUCAUAUUAACAAGAUGAUUCUCUUUGAUAGUUGAUUUACCAUAAACUGAAUGGCUUGGUCGCCAGGGGCGAUCUUCGGAGUCUUCGCCACCGCUGUCCACAUCAUAACUUUCACUGUCACCAGUAUCUUCAGACAGCCCUUCCAGAAUUUCCCUGGUGAUCUUUUCUGUGUUGGUCUUCGACAUUGCUAUAAGAAACCCUAAGUUCUUCUCUUCAUCAAGACUCAGCUUCAUUUCAGCAGCAGCCUUCUUAGCAGCUUCAGACAUCUUCGGAAACACUAAAAAACUGUUUUCAAAGCCGAAGCUUCAAAGCUAAAAGCUUAGCAGAUCACAGUGCACAAGAGCUAAAAAAUGAGUGAGCAAGAGUGGUUGGCCAGAAAGCGUGCCAAAUGAGUUUGUGGUAUGAUCUUAUUUAUACGCCCAGGGCGUUGAAAAUUGAAAGACCCCACUUGUCAGUGAAAGUUGCUAUUCUAGCAAAGGGAAGGUGUUUUUUCGGACCUUCGGCUCAAGGCCUUCGUCCAUUUCGCAAUCUGAAUUUAUCAUUAACAAAUUAAUAUUGCGAGGGGCUACUGUUGGGGGCCUUCGUCCUCCGAAGGUCCUCAAAAACAUGAUUUGAAAUUUUUUCCAAGUGGAUUAUGUGAACAGGUACCUUCGGACUCAGAAUUACGAACAUGAAGUGCGGUCAGGACGAAGCCUGAACCAGACGAAGGACGGGCUGAUUACCAAGCUCCACGAAGGAUGGUGCACAGCCGAAGCUGUGCGCAGGGAAGCUUCAUCGCGAUAGCAGAGAGGGGAACCGACUUAAAGAUGAAAAGACUACGUGGGCCUUGUCAGAUUUCCAUAAGUCAUUGACAAAUGUAAUGGACAUAAAUGUAAUUUUACGUGGGCUGCGUCCCGCGUCUAUAAAUAGAUGAACAGUACUCCCGUACUGUUCACACUGACUUGGCAUUUGCUUUUGCGUCACGCUUGUACUUUUUAUCUUCUCUCAGGACCGAAGGUACAUUUGUAAUUUGAAAUCAUUUCUAUUUUUCCAUGUUAAUAAAAUAGAAAUGAUUCUAUGAUGAUGCUUAUAUUAUAUUUCAUGCUUUAUAUGAAUCCUUCGUCAUUACUUGUUAUGUUUACGAAGGUAUGUCUCUUAUGACCUCCGUCCGAAACUCAUUAUUUCCCGAAGGGACAUAAUGCUUCGAAGGACGAAGGACUUUAACACUUAACACUUUUUAUGUUGCCUUGUUCUUAACCCUUAGCAUUUGAGAACAAGUCCCCAACAUAGGGGUACAAGGACCCUUCAUCAAGUCAAGAUGGUCUCACAUUCCAAUUACCUUCUCCCAAGGGGAUCUUCAGCUCAAGGAUUACCCACACAAUGAGGCUAUGGUUAUCUCUUGUGUGAUCAAAGGAUUUCUGGUCCAUAAUGUUUUGGUUGAUACAGGCAGUGCAGCUGAUAUCAUAUUUGUUAAGGCCUUCAGACAGAUGCAAGAGCCCGAAGACAAGAUCCAUGAUGCCACACAUCCCCUUUGUGGCUUCGGAGGAAGGCAGAUUGUAGCACUUGGAAAAAUCACAAUGCUAGUAACCUUCGGAUUUAUCAACAACACAAGGACUGAACAAGUUGUGUUCGACAUUGUUGACAUGGAAUACCCUUACAAUGCAAUCAUUGGUCGUCGUACUCUCAAUGCUUUUGAAGCAAUUCUUCAUCCAGCAUAUCUUUGCAUGAAGAUACCUUCGGACCAAGGACCUAUUGCCAUUCAUGGAAGUCAGGAAGCUGCCAGAAGGGCCGAAGGAAACUGGACAGACUCAAAAGCAAUCCAUAACAUAGAUGGAGCUGAAGCUUGUGAGCAGUACAAGUUUAGAAGGGAGAAAGCUGCUUCGGCCGAUCAGCCGAAGCCCAUGCUUUUAUGUGAGGACACAACAGAGCAGAAGGUGCUAUUGGGAUCCCAACCGUCUGAAGAAUAGGAGAAAACCUUGAUAAGGUUUCUGUUCAACAACAAAGAUGUUUUUGCAUGGUCAGCCAAUGAUAUUUGUGGAGUCAACAGGGAUGUUAUUGAACACUCGCUCAACGUUGACCCAUCCUUUAGACCCAGAAAGCAGAGGCUUCGGAAGAUGUCUGAUGACAAGGCCGAAGGUGCUCGGAAUGAAGUGAAAAGGCUCCUCAGUGCCGGAGUUAUCAGAGAGGUAAAAUACCCAGAAUGGCUGGCUAACAUUGUUAUGGUAAAAAAGGCCAAUGGUAAAUGGAGAAUGUGUAUUGAUUUUACUGAUCUCAACAAGGCCUGUCCGAAGGACGAGUUUCCAUUGCCAAGGAUAGAUUCUCUAGUCGAUGCAGCAGCUUCAUCAGAGCUUAUGAGUCUGCUGGAUUGUUAUUCAGGCUAUCAUCAAAUUUGGAUGAAGAAGGAGGAUGAGCCAAAAACCAGCUUCAUAACCCCUAGUGGAACAUAUUGUUACCUUCGGAUGCCUGAGGGGCUCAAAAAUGCUGGAGGAAGCUUCAGCAUAAUGACAGCGAAGGUUCUUCAUUCUCAGAUAGGCAGAAAUGUGCUAACUUAUGUUGAUGAUAUCAUUGUAAAAAGCACGAAGCAAGAUAAUCACAUUGCUGAUCUGCAGGAGACCUUCGCUAAUUUUAGACAGGCCGUUUUGAAGUUGAAUCCAGAAAAAUGUGUCUUCGGAGUGAAGAAAGGGAAAUUUCUUGGCUGUCUAGUUUGAACAAAAGGGAUUGAGGCUAAUCCAAAUAAAAUUGAAGCUAUCCUUCGAAUGGAACCACCAAGUACAAAAAAGGGGGCUCAAAGAUUGACAGGAAGACUGGCAUCUCUUAAUAGAUUUAUAUCUAGAUCAGCAGAGAGAAAUUUACCAUUUUUCGAAGUGCUGAAAUCAGCCGAAGUUUUUCAAUGGGGACCAGUUCAGCAGAGAGCCUUCGAAGAGCUGAAGCAAUAUUUGAUAGACCUAACAACACUAACACCACCAACGCCAGGGGCUCCUCAGUUAUUAUAUGUGGCAGCUUCGCACUCAGCGGUAAGUGCAGCACUUGUCCAGGAGAGGCUUGAAGGCCAAGUCAAAAAGCAAGCCCCAAUAUACUUUGUAUCCGAAGUUCUUAGUUUAUCAAAGAAAAAUUAUACAGAAUUGGAGAAGGUGUUGUAUGCUAUUUUGAUGGCCUCCAGGAAGCUUUGGCACUAUUUUCAGGCAUACAAUAUAGUUUUUCCUUCUUCACAACCGUUGAAGGAUAUUAUGAGAAAUAGAGAAGCUACUAGAAGGGUUGGAAAAUGGGCUGCGGAACUCAAUGAAUUUUGUAUUUAUUAUGUGCAUAGAUCUUCAAUUCAGUCCCAAGCAUUGGCAGACUUCAUUGCUGACUAGACGCCAAGGGCUCAGGAACAAGAAGCGAGUAAAGAUGCUGAAGUUUGGACAUUAUUUUGCGAUGGAUCUUGGGGAACCUUCGGAGCAGGAGCAGCUGCUAUGUUGGUUGCACCUUCCAAUGUUAAAACUUGUUAUGCAACAAGACUUGAUUUCAAUUGCACAAAUAACAUUGCUGAGUACGAAGCUUUACUCCUUGGUCUUCGGAAGCUAAAGGCGAUGGGAAUCAGAAGGGCGGUUCUUAAAACUGAUUCCCAGGUUAUUUCUGGUCAUAUUGACAAAAGUUAUAAAGCAAGAGAUCCGAAGCUUGAAAAAUAUUUAGACACGGUCCGAAGGAUCGAGGCUUCCUUCGAAGGGUUUUCUGUUAAAAAUAUUCCUCGUGGAGACAAUGAAUAUGCUGAUUUAUUAGUUAAGUCAGCAGCACGGGGGCUGCCAUUACCUUCGGAAGUAUUUUUCGAAACAAUAAAAGCACCUUCGGUUGAGCUUCCUGAAAGAGCAGUCCUCAACAUAUCCCCUGUUUAUAGUGAGGACUGGAGAACUGAGAUCAUCUCUUUCCUCUAGAGUAACUUUCUUUCAGAUGACGAAGCUUAUAACAGGAGGAUAGAGGCAAGAGCUCGACCAUAUGUUAUAAUAGAAGGGAACUAUACAAGCGUGGGGUCUGUUCUCCGUUACUCAAGUGUUUAUCCAGAGCCGAAGGUAUAGAAUUUGUUGGGGGCCUUCGUCUUCCGAAGGUCCUCAAAAACAUGAUUUAACAAUGUUUCUGGAGUAAAGUACAUUAACAGGUAUCUUCGGACUCAUAUCAGAGCCACGGUAUGAAGAAGCACAAAGAACACGAAGAUUGACGUAGAGCCGAAGCUGUGUGUAGAAGAGCUUCAGGAUAGCGGCGGAAAAGGAAACCGACUUAAAGAUGAAAAACCAGAUUAGACCCCGAAGAAUUAUCAUAGAGUUAUUGAUAAAUGUAAAGGGCAUUAAUGUAAUUUUGCAUGGGCUGCAACCCGUGCCUAUAAAUAGGUGAACAGUAUCCCCGUACUGUUCACGCUGACUGAGCAUUCACUUUUACGUCACGCCUGUACUCUUUUCCUUCAAACCGAAGGUAUACUUGUAAUUUAUUCUUGUUUGAAUAAGUGAUAGAAAUAAGAAAUAGAUUAAUAAUAAUGUUUACAAUAAUUGUGUCAUUUUCUAUAUUUUGUUUGAACGUUCUCCAUUUUUUAUCAUGAUUAUGAAGGUAUGACCUUCAUGACCUUCGUCCUAAAUUCACUAUGUCCGAAAGGAAAUAAUGAUUUGAAGGACGAAGGGCCUUUCGAUAUUUAACAUUUUGUGUUGCCUUUUUCUUGAUUCAUAGUAUUUGAGAACAAGUCCCCAACAUUGGCGCCCACCUCCGGUGAACUCACUUCCAUUUUUUGAGUCUUGAACACUUUCGGCAAGCAUCACCUUCGUCAUGCCGCCGAAAAAAGCUUCAGCGACAGGGGCUGGUACUUUACAGCCGCUAGAUCCCAAUCAGGAUGUCCUUUCUCUUAGAGAGGCCUAAAGCCAGAAGAGGAAGGCUGCUAGUCCAACACCUCUAGAGGAUGACCUGGAUCAGGAGAUCCAAAACCUAGAGAUUCUUCAGCAACAGGUGCAACGCAAGAAGGAGAAGAUGGCUCGUCUAGCUGAUCUUCAGAGACAGAUAGACGAAGCUUCUGAAGAGGUUCGUCAUCUUGUUCAAGAUGAUCAGAGCCGAAGGCCUCCACGCAGAGAGCUUCAUCAGGAAGGCUUCCACAAUGAGGAUGACUGGUAUGAAGAUUUCCAUCGUGGAAACUUUGCUUUUGAUGAUGCUUCUCCUCUCUCAACAGAAUUGCAGGCUACACCAUGGCCACAGUCUUACAAGCCACCCCAGCUCCCCAUGUAUGAUGGUCAUACAGACCCGAAGCAAUUCCUGAUGAGCUAUGAAGCAACCAUAUCUUCGUAUGGUGGCAAUAUGGCAGUCAUGGCAAAAUCUUUUGUCAUGGCCAUCAAGAGCGUUGCUCAGACCUGGUACUCUUCUCUUCGGCCAGGGACAAUCACUUCUUGGCAGAAGUUGAAGGAUAUGCUGAUAACUAGCUUCCAAGGGUUUCAGACAAAGCCAGUCACUGCUCAAGCUUUAUUUCAGUGUACCCAGGACCACGAAGAAUACCUUCAGGCGUAUGUCCGAAAGUUUCUAUGUCUGAGGGCACAAGCGCCAACAGUGCCCAAUGAAAUUGUCAUUGAGGCCAUAAUUAAGGGGCUUCGGCCGGGACCUUCAGCGCAGUACUUUGCCAGGGAGCCACCACAAACGCUGGAGAAGCUGCUCCAAAAGAUGGACGAAUACAUUCGAGCUAACAAUGACUUCCGCCAAAGAAGGGAGGAAGCAUUCAGGUUCUCUGAAAUGACUAGGGGCUUCGGAGGAAGAUUUCACCCGAGGCACGUCAGGUCAAUUCAUAACUCUGCUCAAACUGAUGAUCGAGGGAGUCAGCAGCAAAGGCCACAAUACUCUUCACAAGCUUCGGGCCAGCAGCAAAGUUCUUUUCGGCCGCCAGCGCCAAGAGGCAGAGGCGCUAGGGGCUUCGGGGGAAGGUUUGGAGAUCAGCCAAGAAAAAUUUAUUGCCUAUUCUGUGGUGAAGAUAAGGGCCAUACCACCAGGAUGUGUCACGUUACCAUCUAGAAACAGAAGGAGUUAGCAGAAGCAGCUGCGCAACAAAGUCAGCCGAAGCAGGUCAUGCAUACUGCUUCGUAUCAUUCGCCUUAUAUUCCAGAAUAUGUAGGCAAUCACCCUGCUGCUUCUAUCGCUUCGACAAGCCAACCCCAAGCAUCUUGGCAGCAUCCUCCACCACUGCCGCCGACGCAGCGAGGACAGCAGCCAGAAGGGAGUCAGCACACUCACCUUCCGAGGGAUUUCAGAGAGGAGUCCGAAGCUCGCACAUUCAACAGCACUGUGCCAGAGUCGAAGCACAUUUAUUGAUGAAUAUCCUACUUCAACAGCAGUUCUUUCGCAUUCUUACAUUCAGUAUUACCCUUUUGUUAGUAAGGAACAAUUAUGAGAAGUUUAAGUGUCCUUUAUCGUUUUUCGAUUUCUUGAAACAUUUUCGUCUAUUACCAUAAUAAAAAUAUGCCUUUCCCAUAGGCUUGAUUUGUCGAAGCAUACAAAUUCAUGGUGGCAUGAAGGACCUCUGUAUUAUGAAACAUUUGUCCUCGAAACAGUAAAAAGUCGCUCCUAAGGGAACGCAGAGUAAGUUUUCUAAAACUACAGUGAAAAAUAAGCGUUGAUUCUGCCGAAAGUAAAAUGCGAAGAAGCUCCUAAGGGAGGCUUACAGCGAAAAAUAAGCGCUGAUUCCGCCGAAAGUAAAAGGCGAAGAAGCUCCUAAGGGAGGCUUACAGCGAAAAAUAAAUGCUGAUUCCGCUGAAAGUAAAAGGCGAAGAAGCUCCUAAGGGAGGCUUACAACGAAAAGUCAGCGCUGAGAUAAAAAGUGUGUGUGCUCUAUUACAGGGAUAUGUAUCUACGGCACAAAUAUCAUUUUGCAUAACAUAACAUCAUCACAUCAUUCUGCAUAACAUAAGCAUCAUACAACAUAUUGCAUGUGGAACAAGAAGGAGAUACAGUGUUGGUCUUCGGAAAAUAUUUUGGAAAAGAGAAAAAUCGUGCUAAGGCACAAGACAAAUCGGGAUGAAGUAUAGCCUCAUCGGAAACGCAACACAAAAUUUUUUUAUAGCUUCGGAAAAUAUUUCACGAAGCUUGGACAUUUUUCAUCAGAGAAGUAAGCAAAUUCUUGUGAUAUAGAAAGGAUUUUCUUCACGAAGCAUGAAAAGAAGGGAAGGUGUUUUUUCGCCGAAGGCUCAAAAAAUGGUAUGUAUGCAAAAUUUCAUGCAUCGUAAAGAAUUAAAUUCAAAGUUACAAUAUAUUACACAUGUUACGUUCUAAAUGUUUUUUCAGUAACAUUCAAUCCUCUUUAAGCACUAUUUCUGCAGCUUCAUUCAAUAGCUGGUCGACAACCUUGUCCAUAAUGGCUUCGGCCAUUUUUCUAAUUUCAUCGUCCCCCUUCGGGUGGGGGCCCGGAGAUGCCUCACCAGGUUCUGAGGGAAGAAAAGAUACAGCUAUAUUACUAUUACAAACCGCGAACAGAGUCUGGAAUUAAAAAUUACAGUAUGAUAAAAACUACUAAUUAAUACCUAUUAGCCCUUCGGGCUCUGUACUUUUUUCGGCAGCUUCUGCUACUUUUCUAGCGUCGUGGAUGCCUUUUUCACUCCUUUGAAUAAUUUCUUGCGCCAAUUCUCGGCCGCCGUUAUCCCAGAUAUCGGUGAAGAAUUUCCCACCGACCAUGCUUGCUUCGGGUGAGGGGUCUUUAAUGUCUUCAGAGGACAAAGUAGCUUCGGACUGCGCUAAGGAUUUUACAUGCUCGCAGCCUUUCCUCUCCAAAACAGCAGCAAUCCCCCUAGCACCCAAAAAAGCGCAGAUGUCACCACGGCUAUUCAGGAUUUCCUCGAAGGCCUAUGCUUCGUGACUGAUCCAUUCCAUUGGACCUUCAGGAUUGCCUCUUGAAAAAUUCUCUUCACUAGAGAAUGCGCCAACGUUGGCGAAGCUGGAUUUUAUCUUCUUAACGCACUCUAUGGAUUUAACAUAGCAUUUCCUCUGGGAUGCACGAAGCUCUUUAACACUUAUCUCUAAAUGAUUGGCCAAUUGAUCACUAAGCUCUCGUUUUGUUUCUUCAAGUAUACGCUCUUCUUUAGCUCUAGCUAGCUGUUUCUGAAGAUCUUUAAUUUCACGUCUUUGGGCUUCGGCCUGGGCCUUUGAGGCAGCUUCGUCCUUUUUUACCUUGUCCACUAAUGUAAGCAGAAUUUUAUCCUUUUCCAGAGCUUCAUUCCUCAGUUUAAUAACUUCUGAUCGUAGGUUGUUGAAUGCAAUUUCAUAGCUCUCGUCUUCGGCAUUCUUUUGUGCUCUCAAUGCGUUGCUUAAAAUUAAACCCUAUAUGAAAAAAAGUUGGUACAAGAAUAAAAGAGUAAGUUGUGAAUUAUAAAAUUUCCAAAUGCCCAAUUCCCAUACCUUCAGGCUAUUGUACGCAAGACUAUCCGCAAGAUCCUCCUUCGUCAUAGCACAUAAUCCAGCUUCAAGCUUCGGAAAUCCCAUACUUCUAGCCAUCUCCCGACAGACGGAUAAUUCUUUGCUAUCUAGGAGGCAGUAUAGGAAAUCUUCUUCGUCUGUCCCAUUGAACACUAGUGCCCCCUUCGGAUAUUUCAAUUCUUUGGCAUAGUGAUUAGCUUCAAACACUUCUUCUUCCGAUAACUUUUUCCCCGAAGCAUGACGCACAAUAUAAUCGUAUAUUUUGGAAGGUGCUCCGGGGACAGCAGUAUCAAUUUCUUCGACCAAAGUAGGCUCUGACAUUUUCAUUUCUUCAGUUGCCCUUGCAAUUUUUGCUUCUUCUGCUUCCAAAGGUAUUACCUUGGUUGGUUCUGAAGGCCCGGUUUCAACUUCAGUUUGUCGCUUCGAAGCCUUAGCAACGGAUACUUCAGCAAGCGCCUCAGAAGUUUCAGCAGUCUUCUUUGGGGUUGUGCUUGGAAGUUUAAUUGUUUCCAAAACAUCUAACACAUUAACCAUUCUUUUUCUUUUUGGGGUCACUGUUGGCCCCUUUUUAAUUUUUGCUGCUUCAAUUUCUUCUAAAGGACUUAAAAUUUCUGAUAUUUUUGCUCCCUUGGUUGAUGCUUUUGCUUCUUUCAUCUUUUCUGUCGAUGGCGCUUCGGCCAGCUCUUUGGUUUCUGGUAACAGAGUCUUUGGUUCCUCCAAUUCUUUUGUUGUUGGCACUUCGGCCAGCUCUUUGGCUCCUGGCAGCGGAGUUGAUUCCUUCACUUUGGGGGCCGAAGACGUUUCACUGCCGAAUUCAGGCACUGUGGCUAAUUCAAUGUAACGUGGCCGGUGUGUGAGAACUUUCACCCUUUUUCUCUUUGGUGCUGGCCCGCUAGGAGCAACUGAAGCAGUUUCUUUCGCAGAAGUCGUACCCUUCCUUUUCUGCCCCCGCACUGGAUAAUGGUAGUCGGGGUACACAAACCCAAUUGCAUCAAAAACUCGGUUCAGUCUUUUCUUUCUUCGGCCUCCGAAGGCUACUGACAAUGCAGUAUCGUCGGCCUUCGAGUAUACCCCAAGCAAUUCAUCACUUACAGUCUCAAUGCUCUUUAACCAAUCGUCAUCUGGUUCAACGAACUUGUCUCCAUACUUGAAUGUAUACUUCAGCCUGACUAGCCCACCUUCGUCAGUUUCUUUAAUAGUUUCUUUCGGCAUUUCCCAAUUAUCUGCAAGAGGCCAUACUCUGAAGGCAAUGUGUUCUUGUAUUAAAUCCCUUGUCCCAAUAAAAGAACAGACUACGCCGAAGGCCCGUUGGCAUUCUUCGGCUACUUCAUCCAUCUCUACCUUCGGUUUCCGGAGUCCGAAGCGCUGCCAGAUGGGGCACAUGAUGACAUCCUUAAUAUCGUCUCGAACCUUCAAAUCAUUUUUUACAUAGAACCAUUCUUUCAUCCAUUCUCCGGGCCAUCUCUUCCGAAAAGUGGGCACGGGACAACUUGAUCCAGAGCGAGCACCGAAGUUGUAGCAACCAAAGUUGUUAUGGUAUUGCUCUUUACCCCAAGGCUUUGUUUCAUACAACAAUUCAUGUAUAUUGCAAAAGCUUUUCGCACUUGGCUCUAGGCCUUGACUCUUCACAGCCCAGACGAAGAUUCCCAUUCUUAUUAUUGCUUCAGGGGUAAGUUGAUGAAGGUAAACCUGAUAUAUUUUCAGAACUUCCACCACAAAUCUGCUUAUAGGGAAUCGUAGCCCAGCUUUUAAAAAGCUUCGGAAGAUAACGACUUCAUCAUCUUCGGGAGUCGGCACAGUUCUUUCUCCGGCAUCUGCUCUCACAAUGGACAUAUCUCAAAAAUAUCUCCCCUUCAUGUUUUCAAGGUGACUUUGCCCAAUAGUUGAUUUUCCGAAGACUGAAUGGCUUGGUCGCCAUGGUCGAUCUUUGGAAUCUUCACCCCCACUGUCUGCAUCAUAACUGUCACUAUCACCAGUAUCUUCAGAUAAACCUUCUAAAAUCUCCCUUGUAAUCUUCUCCGUAUUUGUCUUUUCAAUUGACUCAAGAAAGCCCAGAUGCAUCUCUUCAGAAAGGCUCAGCUUCAUUUCGGCAGCAACCUUCUUCUCCUCAGACAUCCCUUCAGAGUUCUUGCCUCCCGCUUCCGAAACUUAAAACUAGUGAGGCCACCAAAUAUUUGUGGGCAGAAACUAUUUGAGCAAGCAAAACAGAUGGCAAGAGAGCGUGCCAAAUAAAUUGUGUUGAGCCCCUAUUUAUACGCUCAUUAUGCCAAAAACUGGAGGGUCCCGCUUGUCAAAGACUGUUGCUAUUCUAGCAAAGGGAAGGUGUUUUUUCGGACCUUCGGCUCAAAGCCUUCGUCCAUGUCGCAAUAUAAAUUUAUCAUUCCAGUAAAUUAAUAUUGCGAGGGGCUACUGUUGGGGGCCUUCGUCUUCCGAAGGUCCUCAAAAACAUGAUUUAACAAUGUUUCUGGAGUAAAGUACAUUAACAGGUAUCUUCGGACUCAGAUCAGAGCCACGGUAUGAAGAAGCACAAAGAACACGAAGAUUGACGCAGAGCCGAAGCUGUGUGUAGAAGAGCUUCGGGAUAGCGGCGGAAAAGGAAACCGACUUAAAGAUGAAAAACCAGAUUAGACCCCGAAGAAUUAUCAUAGAGUUAUUGAUAAAUGUAAAGGGCAUUAAUGUAAUUUUGCAUGGGCUGCGACCCGUGCCUAUAAAUAGGUGAACAGUAUCCCCGUACUGUUCACGCUGACUGAGCAUUCACUUUUGCGUCACGCCUGUACUCUUUUCCUUCAAACCGAAGGUAUACUUGUAAUUUAUUAUUGUUUGAAUAAGUGAUAGAAAUAAGAAAUAGAUUAAUAAUAAUGUUUACAAUAAUUGUGUCAUUUUCUAUAUUUUGUUUGAACGUUCUCCAUUUUUUAUCAUGAUUAUGAAGGUAUGACCUUCAUGACCUUCGUCCUAAAUUCACUAUGUCCGAAAGGAAAUAAUGAUUUGAAGGACGAAGGGCCUUUCGAUAUUUAACAUUUUGUGUUGCCUUGUUCUUGAUUCAUAGUAUUUGAGAACAAGUCCCCAACAGAAUUGAUGAAGCAAAUACACGCAGGCCUAUGUGGAUCUCACAUUGGAUCUAGGCCUUUGCUUGGAAAAGUUUUUCGUCAAGGAUUUUAUUGGUCAAAGGCAGCUUCGGAUGCAGCGGAAUUAGUCCAAAAGUGCGAAGGUUGUCAGAAAUGUGCAAGAGAUCAAAAACAACCUUCGUCUUUAACUCAGUUAAUACAACCCACUUGGUCGUUGCAAAGGUGGGGCCUUGAUUUGUUAGGUCCAUUACCACCAGCACAAGAGAACUUAAGAUAUGUUGUAGUGGCAGUGGAAUAUUUUUCUAAAUGGAUUGACGCAAAGCCUUUAGCCACAAUAACUUCGGACACUAUUCAAAAGUUUUUCUGGCAAAACAUUGUUUGUCGCUUCGGAGUGUCGAAGGCAAUCACUGUGGAUAAUGGGACACAGUUUGAUUCCGAAGCUUUCAGAGAAUUUUGCGAUCAAAUUGGCACGAAGAUCCAUUUUGCAUCAGUUCGACAUCCGGAGUCAAAUGGACUUGUUGAAAGAGCUAAUGGCAUCAUAAUGACAGGAAUAAUGAAGUUAAUCUUCAAUCAGCCCAGGGGAAACUGGCCAGAUGAAUUAAUCAAAGUGGUGUGGAGCCACAAUACAACAGUAUCAAGAUCAACAGGCUUUACACCAUUCAAACUAUUGUUUGGUGACGAAGCAAUAACUCCGGAAGAGGCCAAAGCAGGAUCAAUAAGAAUAGUAGCUUCGGCAAAAGGCGAAGCUGAAGCUGAUUACUCUGUGGAAAAAGAUGCUAUAGAGGGGAUCAGGCUUCAAGCUAUGGAAAACAUCAACAAAUAUCAAGCUGAAACAAUAAAAUGGCAUGAUAGAAAUGUUAAGCUAAAGAACAUUAAACCAGGACACUUGGUGCUUCGAAGAGUAGCCAACCUUGAGACAGUAGGCAAAUUACAGCUGAAGUGGAAAGGACCUUUUUUAGUAGUAUCUUCGUCACGACCCGGUUCAUACAGAUUGAAGGAUAUGGACGGCAACGAUAUUCCUAGAUCGUGGAAUGCGGAUGAGCUUCGACGAUACUAUGUUUAGCUUGAUGUAAUUUUUUCUAUUCUUUUUUGUGGCACCCUUUUCCUUUCCAAAGGGGGAGAAAGGUUUUUAAUGGGGCCACAACAUGUAAUUUUUCUUUUUCUUAUUUCAAUUCUAUAAGAGUGAUAUCCCCCAAAAAAUGUAAAUGUAAAUGCAAAGGAAAAAGAAAAGAAAACAGGGAGAAGCUCAAAAGUCGUUCCUAAGGGAAUGCAGAGCUUACAGCGAAAAAUAAACGCUGAUUCCGCCGAAAGUAAAAGGCGAAGAAGCUCCUAAGGGAGGCUUACAGCGAAAAAUAAACGCUGAUUCCGCCAAAAGUAAAAGGCGAAGAAGCUCCUAAGGGAGGCUUACAGCGAAAAGUCAGCGCUGAUACACUGAAAAGUAAACGGUGAAGCCGAAAAAUAAACGGCAAAAAGAUUUGAGUCAUUUCCAAGGGAAUGAAGGCUAUGAUUAUGGUUUGGAAUAUAUUCCGAUAUUCAUUUGCACGAUACAUUACAUCAUGACAUUUGCAUUCAUAAACAUUCAUUUAGACAUAUAUAGAAUCAUCAUCAUCAUACCACAAAAGACAGAUGCUUCGGCUAUGAGAAAAAACUUCGAAGAAAGAGGAAAUUUUCAUGCUUCGUUGUGUACGAAAAGAAGGGAAGGUGUUUUUCGCCUUCGGCUCAAAAGUGAAGUUUCGUUCACAGCAAAGCAGAUUGUACACGGAUAAAGGAGACUAGAUAUAUUACAAGGUUUGUACAAAUUUACAUAAGUUUUUUCCACAAUUAUAUUACAAAGAUUUGUCCAUAAUUUUUUGCAGGAAAGUCUUUUAUAGCAACUGUUAAGCUUCAGCCCGUCAUUCUUCAGCUUCGUCAUCCUGCACAUAUUAAAAAGCAGAAUAAGAAAGGUGCAAAUUUCAAGGAGAAGGUAAAAGUAACAAAUAUAAGUUUCUCACCGGCUUAAGGUGGCUCUGAGCUUCGUCACCAGCCAUUUUUCGCCCGCCAUUUACCAAAAUCUGGGUCAUAAAUCUGUUUCCGAUGCUUCGGGCUAGGCUUGGGAUAUCAACCAAAUCUGCUGCUGACAAGCUGAAGUUUGGCCAAUUUACAAUUUUUCCGUGCGUAAAGCCAGCCUUCAGAAAAGCGGUAGCUGUGCCUCGAGAAGCUACCAGGGCGCAGAAGUCAGCAUGCCCAGCAAUAACUUCGUCAAGUGCAUCAACCUCGCCUUCAAUGUAUUCCAAGGUGCUGGGCAGGUUUUCAGCUGAUGGUGUAAAUUUUUCAGAGCUGGCUCCGAUAGAGUGAAACACAUCCUUCAACCGUUGCACGCAUCGGCUGCCGAAAUUUAGGCAUUUCUCUUGAAGUUCCUUCAAUGAUUUUUGCAAAUUUGAAUUCUUCUCGAUCUCAGUCUUGAGACUUGUUUCGAGGUUCUUCUUUUCCUGCUCAGAUUUUUCUAACUUUUUGAGUAAUUCAUUCUUUAACCUGUCAUUUUCGGCUUGGACCUCAGCCAGUGAGCCUUCCAUAGAAUGAAUAACGAAGUCUCUCUUUUCUAAGGCAGCUUCGUGUUCUUUAAUUAUGAUUUCAAGGUCUUGAAUGACGAAGUCCUUUUUCUUUAGAGCAGCCUCGUAAUUUUCGACUUUGUCUUCUAGAUCUUUGAUGAUAGUUUUGUUCUUUUCCUCUUCAAGAUCUUGUUGCAUUCUCAGCACUUUACUUAAUAGUAUACUCUGCCAAAAUAACCUUCGUCAGAAAACAACUCAAAUUUCCUUCUUAUAAUAAUAACAAUAAUAAAAAACUGAGAGUUUGCUACCUUGAAAUUAGCAUAGAGCAGGCUACCGGCGAUAUGUUGUCGUUGAUACCUGCAGAGGUCCGUUUCUAUCUUCGGCAGGCCAACACUUUUGGAGAAGGUUCUAACAACUUUGGCCUCGGUUCGAUUCCGAAGGCAUCUUAGCUUCCCUUCGUUGACCCCACCAAAUAGAAGAGACCCUGGUUUGUAUCCACAAGAUAUGGCAUAUUUCUUCAGCUCUUCUUUUUCAGCGCCUAUUAACUCUUGUCCAAGCAAAUCUUGAAAGUUAAAAUUUCCUUCUUCCAAAAUGUCUUCAAUCUGCUCUUUUCCUUUUUUAGUUGCCGUGUUCACCGCAACCACAGCAGCUUCUUCUUCAGCCAUUUUCAGAAGUAUAUUGUCAGUAUCAUCAAGUGUGGUUUCCAGGUUAGGAUCUUCGGUGGUCCCAGCUUCAGCUCCGGUAGCUUCGGCUCCGACGGUUUCAGCCUCAGUGGUUUUGGCUCCAGUAGCUUCAGCUGCGGUGGCUUCGGCUUCGGUGGUCUCGGCAAUGACAAUUUUUGACACCGAUGUCGGUGGCGGUGUCUGAUGAAUCACAUCUGCCACUUGGAUAAUUCUUCGUUUUUUGGCUUUGCAGGACUUUCUGUUGCCGAAGCUUCUUUGUCCUUCUGAAAAAACUUCGUCAGUUCUGGCGCCAGCGGACUUAGCUUGACAGGCAAAUGUUCAGUCAUUACCUUCAGAAUCUCUUCUACUUCGGCAGUAGAAGGUGUCGCAGGAGUUUCCUCCUCUCGGACCAAUGUCUUUGGUUUUGGAGAUGCAGGUUUUGGAGAUACAGCUUUUCUUUUCCUUGGAGCAGUUACCUUCGGCUCUGGGCUCAGUUUUUUAGAAAUUUCUUGUUCCUUUUUGGCCAGUUUGGUGCUUUCUUUGUCAAUUGCGCUGGCAAUUCUUUUCUUCUUCGGGCCUUCGGCAUCUCCACCCAGUUGCUCAUAAUCAGGAUAGUCAAAGUUCAAGGCAUCUAGCACCCGAUUCAACCUUCGUUUGGGGCGACUGCCGAAGGCUGCUGUCAUCAACUGAUCUUCUUUCUUAGAAUAAUUUCCGAGGAUAUCGUUGCACAUAAUCUCGAUUGUGUCCAACCACUCCUAGCAGGGUUUUUAAAGUGUUUCUUAAACUUGUAAUAAUAAGGCAAUCGAAGAAGUUCUCCCUUUUUCUUUUCUCCCUCCAGCUUUGGCAUCUCCCAAUCCAUCAUUGUUGGGAACACUUUAAAAGCCAGAAAUUCCUGCACCAAGUCUCUAGUGCCAAUGUGAUCUGAAAUCACGCGAAAUUCAGCCAUAGCAAUUUGGCUCGGGCUCCCCCUUAUCAUGUUGCAUCGGGGCCUCGUUUCUCCGAAGGUUAGCUCUAGUGGACUCUGGACCAAUUUAUCUUCAUCUUUAUCAACUUUAACAUAAAACCACUCAGAUUUCCAUCCGGCUGGCCAUUUGCUUCGGUAGCUUAUCACUGGAAACUUCGUAGUCUUGCGAUAAGCAAAGUUGUAACAUCCAAAAUUCUCAUGAAGACCAUCUCCUCUGGCUUUAGUCUGAUAGUGUAGUUCAUGGACUCGGUAGAAACCUUCACCAAACGGUUCUACUCCCUGGCUACAAAGGGCCCAAAUAUAAACACUUAAUCUAACAAUAGCGUUAGGGGUCAGCUGAUGAAGGUAAACCCCAAACUUCUUCAACACAAUAGCAAUCAUCCCAUUCAGGGGGAAUCUUAGGCCAGCUUUAAAGAAACUUUUGAACACCACAACCUCAUUCUUUUCCGGCUUCGGAAUAGUUUCCUCCCCGCCGAAACGAACCAGCUCCUUUUUUGCCUCACUAAAGUAGCCCAGCUUCACCAUUUUUGGAAGAUCAGCUUCAGAGAUGGUGGACUUUCCAAAGUCCAAAUGACUAGGUUUGCAUGGCAUCCCGCAGCUGUAUUCAUCUUCGGAACCAACUUCUUUGACGUCAGCUUGCGUUGCUUCGGCAGAAGGUGUAUCCUCUGAUGGAACCAGCCCAAAGCGCCUCAUUGCUUCAGAAAUCGGAACAGUUUGAACGGCUUCGGUCUCGUCUCCAUCACGCUCAACCCUAGCAGUGGAGCGUAUUCUGGCCAUUUGAUUUUAAAUUUUCUUGAAAAAUUCUUUGGAAGUCAAUAACCUUUUUUCCGAAGCUCUUAUCGUGACGAAGCACAAUCCAAACUGGAGCUUCAUUUGAAUGCAAAAAUCAAGCUUCGGCUAUGGUUAAAUUUUUGGCAGCAAAAUAGUGCAAUAGCAAUGAAUGCUAUGGUAACUUCACACCUACCUGUCUGUUUAUAUAGUGCUGCAGGUAAGAAGGUGAAUCGUCAGGAUUUUUUCCACCGGGCAAACAGUCGCCCGCACCCACUGCAUGGUGGGCCGCAAAAACCAAGAAAGUGAACCUGCAUGGUGGGACCGCUCCGCGCUCGGAAACUACAUCGUUUCUCGGCAACGAGCUCAGGGAGGUGUUUUUCGGACCUUCAGCUUCCCGAAGCCUAAGAGACUUUUUUCACGGAUCAAGCUCGUUACGAAAAACGAUCUAGCACCGUGAAGGGGCUUUUGUUGGGACCAUGCUUCGUCGCCGAUGGUCCUGCAGGAAGAAACAGCUUCGGCUAAAGCUGCUUAUACAUGAUGACCGAAGCUACCACUCAUGAAGCUUCGGUGUUAUAGCGUAUCCAAAGAUAAAGGGUCGAACCGACUUAAAGAUAGAAUGACAGUUUAGUCCAUAAGGGUCUGAGUCAUUGUUGUAAACUUUUAUAAGGGGCAUAAUUGUAAUUCCUUACAGGCUGUGUCCUGUGCUUAUAAAUAGUGAACAGUAUUCUUUUACUGUUCACGCAUUCCUGUUAUUGCAAACGCAUCACUCGGGAAUUAUUAUUUGUCAAGGCAAUGGUAUAAAUGUACCUAAACAUUAUGUUCUAACACUUUAGAUUCAUAUAAGAAGAUAUGUGAAUGAUGUCAUCAAUUUCUGUAUAACCUUCGUGAUAUUCUACUCGUGGUCUUCGUCCGAAGUUCAUUAAAUCCUUGGGGAGAUAAUGCUUCAGCGGACGAAGGGCAUUAAUAUUUAACAUUUUAUGUUGCCUUGUUCUUAAUUCAUAGCUUUUGAGAACAAGUCCCCAACAAUGGUGGAGACCAUUUCUUGGUCAAAAAUCCAUAAGUGUUAGCCUUCAGUGUCAUUGAAAAUGGUCGUUCAUGGCUAUUUUCGACAAAAAUGGGGGUUGUGUGGACAUUGAUCAUCGACCAGAGGCUCGUACACUUCACCCCACAUAUGUUUUCUUGACAUAGAUCACAUUCUUGGAUUUCUGGUGGAGACCAUUUCUUGGUCAAAAAUCUGUUGGUGUUAGCCAUCGGUAUUAUUGAAAAUGGUCGUUCAUGGCUAUUUUCGACUGAAAUGGGGGUUGUGUGGCCAUUUAUCAUCGUCCAGAAGCUCAUACACCUCACCCCACAUAUGUUUCCUUGCCAUAGAUCACAUUCUUGGAUAUCUGGUGGAGACCAUUUCUUGGUCAAAAAUCCGUACGUGUUAGCCUUCGUAUUAUUGAAAAUGGUCAUUCAUGGCUAUUUUCGACAAAAAUGGGGGUUGUGUGGCCAUUGAUCAUCGACCAAAGGCUCGUACACCUCACCCCACAUAUGUUUCCUUGCCAUAGAUCACAUUCUUUGAUUUCUGGUGGAGACCAUUUGUUGGUCAAAAAUCCGAAUGUGUUAGCCUUCGGAACUAUUGAAAAUGGUCGGUCAUGGCUAUUUUCGACAAAAAUGGGGGUUGUGUGGCCAUUGAUAUUGGACCAGAGGCUCAUACACCUCACUACACAUAUGUUUCCUUGCCAUAGAUCACAUUCUUGGAUUUAUGGUGGAGACCAUUUCUUGGUCAAAAAUCCGUGGAUGUUAGCCUUCAGUGUCAUUGAAAAUGGUCGUUCAUGGCUAUUUUCGACAAAAAUUAGGGUUGUGUGGCCAUUGAUCGUCGACCAGAGGCUCAUACACCUCACCCCACAUAUGUUUCCUUGCGUAGAUCACAUUCUUGGAUUUCUGGUGGAGACCAUUUCUUGGUCAAAAAUCCGUAGGUGUUAGCCUUCGGUAUUAUUGAAAAUGGUCGUUCAUGGCUAUUUUCGACAAAAAUGGGGGUUGUGUGGCCAUUGAUCAUCGACCAGAGGCUCAUACACCUCACCCAUAUGUUUCUUGCUAGAUCACAUUCUUGGAUUUCUUGGUCAAAAAUCCGUAGGUGUUAGCCUUCGUAUUAUUGUAAAUGGUCAUUCAUGCUAUUUUCGAAAAAUGGGGUUGUGUGGCCAUUGAUCAUCGACCAGAGGCUCAUAAACCUCACCCCACAUAUGUUUCCUUGUCGUAGAUCACAUUCUUGGAUUUCUGGUGGAGACCAUUUCUUGGUUAAAAAUCCGUAGGUGUUAGCCUUCGAUAUUAUUGAAAAUGGUCGUUCAUGGCUAUUUUCGACAAAAAUGGGGGUUGUGUGGCCAUUGAUCAUCGACCAGAGGCUCAUACACCUCACCCCACAUAUGUUUCCUUGCCAUAGAUCACAUUCUUGGAUUUCUGGUGGAGACCAUUUCUUGGUCAAAAUCGUAGUGUUAGCUUCGGUAUUAUUGAAAUGGUCGUUCAUGGCAUUUUCGACAAAAUGGGGUUGUGUGGCCAUUGAUCAUCGACCAGAGGCUCGUACACCUCACCCCACAUAUGUUUCCUUGCCAUAGAUCACAUUCUUGGAUUUCUGGUGGAUACCAUUUCUUGGGCAAAAAUCCGAAUGUGUUAGCCUUUGGUAUUUUUGAAAAUGGUCAUUCAUGGCUAUUUUGACAAAAAUGGGGGUUGUGUGGCCAUUGAUCUUCGACCAGAGGCUCAUACACCUCACUACACAUAUGUUUCCUUGCCAUAGAUCACAUUCUUGGAUUUAUGGUGGAGACCAUUUCUUGGUCAAAAAUCCGUAGGUGUUAGCCUUCAGUGCAUUGAAAAUGGUCGUUCAUGGCUAUUUUCGACAAAAAUUACGGUUGUGUUGCCAUUGAUCGUCGACCAGAGGCCCAUACACCUCACCCCACAUAUGUUUCCUUGCCGUAUAUCACAUUCUUGGAUUUCUGGUGGAGACCAUUUCUUGGUCAAAAAUCGUAGGUGUUAGCCUUCGGUAUUAUUGAAAAUGGUCGUUCAUGGCUAUUUUCGACAAAAAUAGGGUUGUGUGGCCAUUGAUCAUCGACCAGAGGCUCAUACACCUCACCCCACAUAUGUUUCCUUGCCAUAGAUCACAUUCUUGGAUUUCUGGUGGAGACCAUUUCUUGGUCAAAAAUCCGUAGGUGUUAGCCUCUAGUAUUAUUGAAAAUGGUCGCUCAUGGCUAUUUUCAUAAAAAAUGGGGGUUGUGUGGCCAUUUAUCAUCGACUAGAGGCUCAUAAAACUCACCCCACAUAUGUUUCCUUGCCAUAGAUCACAUUCUUGGAUUUCUGGUGGAGACCAUUUCUUGGUCAAAAACUCGUACGUGUUAGCCUUCGGUAUUAUUGAAAAUGGUCGUUCAUGGCUAUUUUCGGCAAAAUGGGGGUUGUGUGGCCAUUGAUCAUCGACCAGAGGCUCGUACACCUCACCCCACAUAUGUUUCCUUGCCAUAGAUCACAUUCUUGGAUUUCUGGUGGAGACCAUUUCUUGGCAAAAAUCCGAAUGUGUUAGCCUUUGGUAUUUUGAAAAUGGUCAUUCAUGGCUAUUUUCGACAAAAAUGGGGUUGUGUGGCCAUUGAUCUCGACCAGAGGCUCAUACACCUCACCACAUAUGUUUCCUUGCCAUAGAUCACAUUCUUGGAUUUUGGUGGAGACCAUUUCUUGGUCAAAAAUCCGUGUGUUAGCCUUGUAUUUUGAAAAUGGUCUUCAUGGCUAUUUUCGACAAAAAUGGGGUUGUGUGGCCAUUGAUCUCGACCAGAGGCUCAUACACCUCACCACAUAUGUUUCCUUGCCAUAGAUCACAUUCUUGGAUUUCUGGUGGAGACCAUUUCUUGGUCAAAAACUUAGGUGUUAGCCUUCAGUGUAUUGAAAAUGGUCGUUCAUGGCUAUUUUCGACAAAAAUUAGGGUUGUGUGGCCAUUGAUCGUCGACCAGAGGCUCAUACACCUCACCCCACAUAUGUUUCCUUGCCUAGAUCACAUUCUUGGAUUUCUGGUGGAGACCAUUUCUUGGUCAAAAAUCCGUAGGUGUUAGCCUUCGGUAUUAUUGAAAAUGGUCGUUCAUGGCUAUUUUCGACAAAAAUAGGGUUGUGUGGCCAUUGAUCAUCGACCAGAGGCUCAUACACCUCACCCCACAUAUGUUUCCUUGCCAUAGAUCACAUUCUUGGAUUUCUGGUGGAGACCAUUUCUUGGUCAAAAAUCCGUAGGUGUUAGCCUCUAGUAUUAUUGAAAAUGGUCGCUCAUGGCUAUUUUCAUAAAAAAUGGGGGUUGUGUGGCCAUUUAUCAUCGACUAGAGGCUCAUAAACCUCACCCCACAUAUGUUUCCUUGCCAUAGAUCACAUUCUUGGAUUUCUGGUGGAGACCAUUUCUUGGUCAAAAACUCGUACGUGUUAGCCUUCGGUAUUAUUGAAAAUGGUCGUUCAUGGCUAUUUUCGGCAAAAUGGGGGUUGUGUGGCCAUUGAUCAUCGACCAGAGGCUCGUACACCUCACCCCACAUAUGUUUCCUUGCCAUAGAUCACAUUCUUGGAUUUCUGGUGGAGACCAUUUCUUGGGCAAAAAUCCGAAUGUGUUAGCCUUUGGUAUUUUUGAAAAUGGUCAUUCAUGGCUAUUUUCGACAAAAAUGGGGGUUGUGUGGCCAUUGAUCUUCGACCAGAGGCUCAUACACCUCACUACACAUAUGUUUCCUUGCCAUAGAUCACAUUCUUGGAUUUAUGGUGGAGACCAUUUCUUGGUCAAAAACAUUAGGUGUUAGCCUUCAGUGUCAUUGAAAAUGGUCGUUCAUGGCUAUUUUCGACAAAAAUUAGGGUUGUGUGGCCAUUGAUCGUCGACCAGAGGCUCAUACACCUCACCCCACAUAUGUUUCCUUGCCGUAGAUCACAUUCUUGGAUUUCUGGUGGAGACCAUUUCUUGGUCAAAAAUCCGUAGGUGUUAGCCUUCGGUAUUAUUGAAAAUGGUCGUUCAUGGCUAUUUUCGACAAAAAUAAGGGUUGUGUGGCCAUUGAUCAUCGACCAGAGGCUCAUACACCUCACCCCACAUAUGUUUCCUUGCCAUAGAUCACAUUCUUGGAUUUCUGGUGGAGACCAUUUCUUGGUCAAAAAUCCGUAGGUGUUAGCCUCUAGUAUUAUUGAAAAUGGUCGCUCAUGGCUAUUUUCAUAAAAAAUGGGGGUUGUGUGGCCAUUUAUCAUCGACUAGAGGCUCAUAAACCUCACCCCACAUAUGUUUCCUUGCCAUAGAUCACAUUCUUGGAUUUCUGGUGGAGACCAUUUCUUGGUCAAAAACUCGUACGUGUUAGCCUUCGGUAUUAUUGAAAAUGGUCGUUCAUGGCUAUUUUCGGCAAAAUGGGGGUUGUGUGGCCAUUGAUCAUCGACCAGAGGCUCGUACACCUCACCCCACAUAUGUUUCCUUGCCAUAGAUCACAUUCUUGGAUUUCUGGUGGAGACCAUUUCUUGGCAAAAAUCCGAAUGUGUUAGCCUUGGUAUUUUGAAAAUGGUCAUUCAUGGCUAUUUUCGACAAAAAUGGGGGUUGUGUGGCCAUUGAUCUUCGACCAGAGGCUCAUACACCUCACUACACAUAUGUUUCCUUGCCAUAGAUCACAUUCUUGGAUUUAUGGUGGAGACCAUUUCUUGGUCAAAAAUCGUAGUGUUAGCCUUCAGUAUUAUUGAAAAUGGUCGUUCAUGGCUAUUUUCGACAAAAAUGGGGUUGUGUGGCCAUUGAUCAUCGACCAGAGGCUCGUAACCUCACCCCACAUAUGUUUCUUGCCAUAGAUCACAUUCUUGGAUUUCUGGUGGAGACCAUUUCUUGGUCAAAAAUCCGUGUGUUAGCCUUCGGUAUUAUUGAAAAUGGUCGUUCAUGGCUAUUUUCGACAAAAAUGGGGGUUGUGUGGCCAUUGAUCAUCGACCAGAGGCUCAUACACCUCACCACAUAUGUUUCCUUGCCAUAGAUCACAUUCUUGGAUUUAUGGUGGAGACCAUUUCUUGGUCAAAAAUCCGUAGGUGUUAGCCUUCAGUGUCAUUGAAAAUGGUCGUUCAUGGCUAUUUUCGACAAAAAUGGGGGUUGUGUGGCCAUUGAUCAUCGACCAGAGGCUCAUACACCUCACCCCACAUAUGUUUCCUUGCCAUAGAUCACAUUCUUGGAUUUCUGGUGGAGACCAUUUCUUGGUCAAAAAUCGUAGGUGUUAGCCUUCGGUAUUAUUGAAAAUGGUCGUUCAUGGCUAUUUUCGACAAAAUGGGGGUUGUGUGGCCAUUGAUCAUCGACCAGAGGCUCAUACACCUCACCCCACAUAUGUUUCCUUGCCAUAGAUCACAUUCUUGGAUUUCUGGUGGAGACCAUUUCUUGGUCAAAAAUCCGUAGUGUUAGCCUUCGUAUUAUUGAAAAUGGUCAUUCAUGGCUAUUUUCGACAAAAAUGGGGGUUGUGUGGCCAUUGAUCAUCGACCAGAGGCUCAUAACCUCACCCACAUAUGUUUCCUUGCCAUAGAUCACAUUCUUGGAUUUCUGGUGGAGACCAUUUCUUGGUCAAAAAUCCGUAGUGUUAGCCUUCAGUGUAUUGAAAAUGGUCGUUCAUGGCUAUUUUCGACAAAAAUGGGGUUGUGUGGCCAUUGAUCAUCGACCAGAGGCUCUACACCUCACCCACAUAUGUUUCCUUGCCAUAGAUCACAUUCUUGGAUUUUGGUGGACAUUUUUGUCAAAAUCUGUGUUAGCCUUCUAUUAUUGAAAAUGGUCUUCAUGGCUAUUUUCGACAAAAUGGGGUUGUGUGGCCAUUGAUCAUCGACCAGAGGCUCAUACACCUCACCCACAUAUGUUUCCUUGCCAUAGAUCACAUUCUUGGAUUUCUGGUGGAGACCAUUUCUUGGUCAAAAAUCCGUAGGUGUUAGCCUUCGUAUUAUUGAAAAUGGUCGUUCAUGGCUAUUUUCGACAAAAAUGGGGGUUGUGUGGCCAUUGAUCAUCGACCAGAGGCUCAUACACCUCACCCCACAUAUGUUUCCUUGCCAUAGAUCACAUUCUUGGAUUUCUGGUGGAGACCAUUUCUUGGUCAAAAAUCCGUAGGUGUUAGCCUUCGUAUUAUUGAAAAUGGUCGUUCAUGGCUAUUUUCGACAAAAAUGGGGGUUGUGUGGCCAUUGAUCAUCGACCAGAGGCUCAUACACCUCACCCCACAUAUGUUUCCUUGCCAUAGAUCACAUUCUUGGAUUUCUGGUGGAGACCAUUUCUUGGUCAAAAAUCCGUAGUGUUAGCCUUCGGUAUUAUUGAAAAUGGUCGUUCAUGGCUAUUUUCGACAAAAAUGGGGGUUGUGUGGCCAUUGAUCAUCGACCAGAGGCUCAUACACCUCACCCCACAUAUGUUUCCUUGCCAUAGAUCACAUUCUUGGAUUUCUGGUGGAGACCAUUUCUUGGUCAAAAAUCGUAGUGUUAGCCUUCGGUAUUAUUGAAAAUGGUCGUUCAUGGCUAUUUUCGACAAAAAUGGGGGUUGUGUGGCCAUUGAUCAUCGACCAGAGGCUCGUACACCUCACCCACAUAUGUUUCCUUGCCAUAGAUCACAUUCUUGGAUUUCUGGUGGAGACCAUUUCUUGGUCAAAAAUCCGUAGUGUUAGCCUUCGGUAUUAUUGAAAAUGGUCGUUCAUGGCUAUUUUCGACAAAAAUGGGGGUUGUGUGGCCAUUGAUCAUCGACCAGAGGCUCAUACACCUCACCCACAUAUGUUUCCUUGCCAUAGAUCACAUUCUUGGAUUUCUGGUGGAGACCAUUUCUUGGUCAAAAAUCCGUAGGUGUUAGCCUUCGUAUUAUUGAAAAUGGUCGUUCAUGGCUAUUUUCGACAAAAAUGGGGGUUGUGUGGCCAUUGAUCAUCGACCAGAGGCUCAUACACCUCACCCCACAUAUGUUUCCUUGCCAUAGAUCACAUUCUUGGAUUUCUGGUGGAGACCAUUUCUUGGUCAAAAAUCCGUAGGUGUUAGCCUUCGUAUUAUUGAAAAUGGUCGUUCAUGGCUAUUUUCGACAAAAAUGGGGGUUGUGUGGCCAUUGAUCAUCGACCAGAGGCUCAUACACCUCACCCCACAUAUGUUUCCUUGCCAUAGAUCACAUUCUUGGAUUUCUGGUGGAGACCAUUUCUUGGUCAAAAAUCCGUAGUGUUAGCCUUCGGUAUUAUUGAAAAUGGUCGUUCAUGGCUAUUUUCGACAAAAAUGGGGGUUGUGUGGCCAUUGAUCAUCGACCAGAGGCUCAUACACCUCACCCACAUAUGUUUCCUUGCCAUAGAUCACAUUCUUGGAUUUCUGGUGGAGACCAUUUCUUGGUCAAAAAUCCGUAGGUGUUAGCCUUCGGUAUUAUUGAAAAUGGUCGUUCAUGGCUAUUUUCGACAAAAAUGGGGGUUGUGUGGCCAUUGAUCAUCGACCAGAGGCUCAUACACCUCACCCCACAUAUGUUUCCUUGCCAUAGAUCACAUUCUUGGAUUUCUGGUGGAGACCAUUUCUUGGUCAAAAAUCCGUAGUGUUAGCCUUCGUAUUAUUGAAAAUGGUCGUUCAUGGCUAUUUUCGACAAAAAUGGGGUUGUGUGGCCAUUGAUCAUCGACCAGAGGCUCAUACACCUCACCCACAUAUGUUUCCUUGCCAUAGAUCACAUUCUUGGAUUUCUGGUGGAGACCAUUUCUUGGUCAAAAAUCCGUAGGUGUUAGCCUUCGUAUUAUUGAAAAUGGUCGUUCAUGGCUAUUUUCGACAAAAAUGGGGGUUGUGUGGCCAUUGAUCAUCGACCAGAGGCUCAUACACCUCACCCCACAUAUGUUUCCUUGCCAUAGAUCACAUUCUUGGAUUUCUGGUGGAGACCAUUUCUUGGUCAAAAAUCCGUAGUGUUAGCCUUCGUAUUAUUGAAAAUGGUCGUUCAUGGCUAUUUUCGACAAAAAUGGGGGUUGUGUGGCCAUUGAUCAUCGACCAGAGGCUCAUACACCUCACCCCACAUAUGUUUCCUUGCCAUAGAUCACAUUCUUGGAUUUCUGGUGGAGACCAUUUCUUGGUCAAAAAUCCGUAGUGUUAGCCUUCGUAUUAUUGAAAAUGGUCGUUCAUGGCUAUUUUCGACAAAAAUGGGGGUUGUGUGGCCAUUGAUCAUCGACCAGAGGCUCAUACACCUCACCCCACAUAUGUUUCCUUGCCAUAGAUCACAUUCUUGGAUUUCUGGUGGAGACCAUUUCUUGGUCAAAAAUCCGUAGUGUUAGCCUUCGUAUUAUUGAAAAUGGUCGUUCAUGGCUAUUUUCGACAAAAAUGGGGUUGUGUGGCCAUUGAUCAUCGACCAGAGGCUCAUACACCUCACCCCACAUAUGUUUCCUUGCCAUAGAUCACAUUCUUGGAUUUCUGGUGGAGACCAUUUCUUGGUCAAAAAUCCGUAGGUGUUAGCCUUCGGUAUUAUUGAAAAUGGUCGUUCAUGGCUAUUUUCGACAAAAAUGGGGUUGUGUGGCCAUUGAUCAUCGACCAGAGGCUCAUACACCUCACCCCACAUAUGUUUCCUUGCCAUAGAUCACAUUCUUGGAUUUCUGGUGGAGACCAUUUCUUGGUCAAAAAUCCGUAGGUGUUAGCCUUCGUAUUAUUGAAAAUGGUCGUUCAUGGCUAUUUUCGACAAAAAUGGGGGUUGUGUGGCCAUUGAUCAUCGACCAGAGGCUCAUACACCUCACCCACAUAUGUUUCCUUGCCAUAGAUCACAUUCUUGGAUUUCUGGUGGAGACCAUUUCUUGGUCAAAAAUCCGUAGGUGUUAGCCUUCGUAUUAUUGAAAAUGGUCGUUCAUGGCUAUUUUCGACAAAAAUGGGGGUUGUGUGGCCAUUGAUCAUCGACCAGAGGCUCUACACCUCACCCCACAUAUGUUUCCUUGCCAUAGAUCACAUUCUUGGAUUUCUGGUGGAGACCAUUUCUUGGUCAAAAAUCCGUAGUGUUAGCCUUCGGUAUUAUUGAAAAUGGUCGUUCAUGGCUAUUUUCGACAAAAAUGGGGGUUGUGUGGCCAUUGAUCAUCGACCAGAGGCUCAUACACCUCACCCCACAUAUGUUUCCUUGCCAUAGAUCACAUUCUUGGAUUUCUGGUGGAGACCAUUUCUUGGUCAAAAAUCGUAGUGUUAGCCUUCGGUAUUAUUGAAAAUGGUCGUUCAUGGCUAUUUUCGACAAAAAUGGGGGUUGUGUGGCCAUUGAUCAUCGACCAGAGGCUCAUACACCUCACCCACAUAUGUUUCCUUGCCAUAGAUCACAUUCUUGGAUUUCUGGUGGAGACCAUUUCUUGGUCAAAAAUCCGUAGUGUUAGCCUUCGGUAUUAUUGAAAAUGGUCGUUCAUGGCUAUUUUCGACAAAAAUGGGGGUUGUGUGGCCAUUGAUCAUCGACCAGAGGCUCAUACACCUCACCCACAUAUGUUUCCUUGCCAUAGAUCACAUUCUUGGAUUUCUGGUGGAGACCAUUUCUUGGUCAAAAAUCCGUAGGUGUUAGCCUUCGGUAUUAUUGAAAAUGGUCGUUCAUGGCUAUUUUCGACAAAAAUGGGGGUUGUGUGGCCAUUGAUCAUCGACCAGAGGCUCAUACACCUCACCCACAUAUGUUUCCUUGCCAUAGAUCACAUUCUUGGAUUUCUGGUGGAGACCAUUUCUUGGUCAAAAAUCCGUAGGUGUUAGCCUUCGGUAUUAUUGAAAAUGGUCGUUCAUGGCUAUUUUCGACAAAAAUGGGGGUUGUGUGGCCAUUGAUCAUCGACCAGAGGCUCAUACACCUCACCCCACAUAUGUUUCCUUGCCAUAGAUCACAUUCUUGGAUUUCUGGUGGAGACCAUUUCUUGGUCAAAAAUCCGUAGGUGUUAGCCUUCGUAUUAUUGAAAAUGGUCGUUCAUGGCUAUUUUCGACAAAAAUGGGGGUUGUGUGGCCAUUGAUCAUCGACCAGAGGCUCGUACACCUCACCCCACAUAUGUUUCCUUGCCAUAGAUCACAUUCUUGGAUUUCUGGUGGAGACCAUUUCUUGGUCAAAAAUCGUAGUGUUAGCCUUCGUGUAUUGAAAAUGGUCGUUCAUGGCUAUUUUCGACAAAAAUGGGGGUUGUGUGGCCAUUGAUCAUCGACCAGAGGCUCGUACACCUCACCCACAUAUGUUUCCUUGCCAUAGAUCACAUUCUUGGAUUUCUGGUGGAGACCAUUUCUUGGUCAAAAAUCCGUAGUGUUAGCCUUCGUAUUAUUGAAAAUGGUCGUUCAUGGCUAUUUUCGACAAAAAUGGGGUUGUGUGGCCAUUGAUCAUCGACCAGAGGCUCAUACACCUCACCCCACAUAUGUUUCCUUGCCAUAGAUCACAUUCUUGGAUUUCUGGUGGAGACCAUUUCUUGGUCAAAAAUCCGUAGGUGUUAGCCUUCAGUAUUAUUGAAAAUGGUCGUUCAUGGCUAUUUUCGACAAAAAUGGGGGUUGUGUGGCCAUUGAUCAUCGACCAGAGGCUCAUACACCUCACCCCACAUAUGUUUCCUUGCCAUAGAUCACAUUCUUGGAUUUCUGGUGGAGACCAUUUCUUGGUCAAAAAUCCGUAGUGUUAGCCUUCGGUAUUAUUGAAAAUGGUCGUUCAUGGCUAUUUUCGACAAAAAUGGGGGUUGUGUGGCCAUUGAUCAUCGACCAGAGGCUCGUACACCUCACCCCACAUAUGUUUCCUUGCCAUAGAUCACAUUCUUGGAUUUCUGGUGGAGACCAUUUCUUGGUCAAAAAUCGUAGUGUUAGCCUUCGGUAUUAUUGAAAAUGGUCGUUCAUGGCUAUUUUCGACAAAAAUGGGGGUUGUGUGGCCAUUGAUCAUCGACCAGAGGCUCGUACACCUCACCCCACAUAUGUUUCCUUGCCAUAGAUCACAUUCUUGGAUUUCUGGUGGAGACCAUUUCUUGGUCAAAAAUCGUAGGUGUUAGCCUUCGUAUUAUUGAAAAUGGUCGUUCAUGGCUAUUUUCGACAAAAAUGGGGGUUGUGUGGCCAUUGAUCAUCGACCAGAGGCUCAUACACCUCACCCCACAUAUGUUUCCUUGCCAUAGAUCACAUUCUUGGAUUUCUGGUGGAGACCAUUUCUUGGUCAAAAAUCCGUAGGUGUUAGCCUUCGGUAUUAUUGAAAAUGGUCGUUCAUGGCUAUUUUCGACAAAAAUGGGGGUUGUGUGGCCAUUGAUCAUCGACCAGAGGCUCAUACACCUCACCCCACAUAUGUUUCCUUGCCAUAGAUCACAUUCUUGGAUUUCUGGUGGAGACCAUUUCUUGGUCAAAAAUCCGUAGGUGUUAGCCUUCGGUAUUAUUGAAAAUGGUCGUUCAUGGCUAUUUUCGACAAAAAUGGGGGUUGUGUGGCCAUUGAUCAUCGACCAGAGGCUCAUACACCUCACCCACAUAUGUUUCCUUGCCAUAGAUCACAUUCUUGGAUUUCUGGUGGAGACCAUUUCUUGGUCAAAAAUCCGUAGGUGUUAGCCUUCGUAUUAUUGAAAAUGGUCGUUCAUGGCUAUUUUCGACAAAAAUGGGGGUUGUGUGGCCAUUGAUCAUCGACCAGAGGCUCGUACACCUCACCCCACAUAUGUUUCCUUGCCAUAGAUCACAUUCUUGGAUUUCUGGUGGAGACCAUUUCUUGGUCAAAAAUCGUAGUGUUAGCCUUCGGUAUUAUUGAAAAUGGUCGUUCAUGGCUAUUUUCGACAAAAAUGGGGGUUGUGUGGCCAUUGAUCAUCGACCAGAGGCUCGUACACCUCACCCCACAUAUGUUUCCUUGCCAUAGAUCACAUUCUUGGAUUUCUGGUGGAGACCAUUUCUUGGUCAAAAAUCCGUAGGUGUUAGCCUUCGUAUUAUUGAAAAUGGUCGUUCAUGGCUAUUUUCGACAAAAAUGGGGGUUGUGUGGCCAUUGAUCAUCGACCAGAGGCUCAUACACCUCACCCACAUAUGUUUCCUUGCCAUAGAUCACAUUCUUGGAUUUCUGGUGGAGACCAUUUCUUGGUCAAAAAUCCGUAGGUGUUAGCCUUCGGUAUUAUUGAAAAUGGUCGUUCAUGGCUAUUUUCGACAAAAUGGGGUUGUGUGGCCAUUGAUCAUCGACCAGAGGCUCGUACACCUCACCCACAUAUGUUUCCUUGCCAUAGAUCACAUUCUUGGAUUUCUGGUGGAGACCAUUUCUUGGUCAAAAAUCCGUAGGUGUUAGCCUUCGUAUUAUUGAAAAUGGUCGUUCAUGGCUAUUUUCGACAAAAAUGGGGGUUGUGUGGCCAUUGAUCAUCGACCAGAGGCUCUACACCUCACCCCACAUAUGUUUCCUUGCCAUAGAUCACAUUCUUGGAUUUCUGGUGGAGACCAUUUCUUGGUCAAAAAUCCGUAGUGUUAGCCUUCGGUAUUAUUGAAAAUGGUCGUUCAUGGCUAUUUUCGACAAAAAUGGGGGUUGUGUGGCCAUUGAUCAUCGACCAGAGGCUCGUACACCUCACCCACAUAUGUUUCCUUGCCAUAGAUCACAUUCUUGGAUUUCUGGUGGAGACCAUUUCUUGGUCAAAAAUCGUAGUGUUAGCCUUCGGUAUUAUUGAAAAUGGUCGUUCAUGGCUAUUUUCGACAAAAAUGGGGGUUGUGUGGCCAUUGAUCAUCGACCAGAGGCUCAUACACCUCACCCCACAUAUGUUUCCUUGCCAUAGAUCACAUUCUUGGAUUUCUGGUGGAGACCAUUUCUUGGUCAAAAAUCCGUAGGUGUUAGCCUUCGGUAUUAUUGAAAAUGGUCGUUCAUGGCUAUUUUCGACAAAAAUGGGGGUUGUGUGGCCAUUGAUCAUCGACCAGAGGCUCAUACACCUCACCCCACAUAUGUUUCUUGCCAUAGAUCACAUUCUUGGAUUUCUGGUGGAGACCAUUUCUUGGUCAAAAAUCCGUAGGUGUUAGCCUUCGGUAUUAUUGAAAAUGGUCGUUCAUGGCUAUUUUCGACAAAAAUGGGGGUUGUGUGGCCAUUGAUCAUCGACCAGAGGCUCAUACACCUCACCCCACAUAUGUUUCCUUGCCAUAGAUCACAUUCUUGGAUUUCUGGUGGAGACCAUUUCUUGGUCAAAAAUCCGUAGGUGUUAGCCUUCGGUAUUAUUGAAAAUGGUCGUUCAUGGCUAUUUUCGACAAAAAUGGGGUUGUGUGGCCAUUAUCAUCGACCAGAGGCUCGUACACUCACCCCACAUAUGUUUCCUUGCCAUAGAUCACAUUCUUGGAUUUCUGGUGGAGACCAUUUCUUGGUCAAAAAUCCGUAGGUGUUAGCCUUCGGUAUUAUUGAAAAUGGUCGUUCAUGGCUAUUUUCGACAAAAAUGGGGGUUGUGUGGCCAUUGAUCAUCGACCAGAGGCUCUACACCUCACCCCACAUAUGUUUCCUUGCCAUAGAUCACAUUCUUGGAUUUCUGGUGGAGACCAUUUCUUGGUCAAAAAUCCGUAGGUGUUAGCCUUCGUAUUAUUGAAAAUGGUCGUUCAUGGCUAUUUUCGACAAAAAUGGGGGUUGUGUGGCCAUUGAUCAUCGACCAGAGGCUCAUACACCUCACCCCACAUAUGUUUCCUUGCCAUAGAUCACAUUCUUGGAUUUCUGGUGGAGACCAUUUCUUGGUCAAAAAUCGUAGGUGUUAGCCUUCGGUAUUAUUGAAAAUGGUCGUUCAUGGCUAUUUUCGACAAAAUGGGGGUUGUGUGGCCAUUGAUCAUCGACCAGAGGCUCGUACACCUCACCCCACAUAUGUUUCCUUGCCAUAGAUCACAUUCUUGGAUUUCUGGUGGAGACCAUUUCUUGGUCAAAAAUCCGUAGUGUUAGCCUUCGGUAUUAUUGAAAAUGGUCGUUCAUGGCUAUUUUCGACAAAAAUGGGGUUGUGUGGCCAUUGAUCAUCGACCAGAGGCUCGUACACCUCACCCACAUAUGUUUCCUUGCCAUAGAUCACAUUCUUGGAUUUCUGGUGGAGACCAUUUCUUGGUCAAAAAUCCGUAGGUGUUAGCCUUCGGUAUUAUUGAAAAUGGUCGUUCAUGGCUAUUUUCGACAAAAAUGGGGGUUGUGUGGCCAUUGAUCAUCGACCAGAGGCUCAUACACCUCACCCACAUAUGUUUCCUUGCCAUAGAUCACAUUCUUGGAUUUCUGGUGGAGACCAUUUCUUGGUCAAAAAUCCGUAGGUGUUAGCCUUCGUAUUAUUGAAAAUGGUCGUUCAUGGCUAUUUUCGACAAAAAUGGGGGUUGUGUGGCCAUUGAUCAUCGACCAGAGGCUCAUACACCUCACCCCACAUAUGUUUCCUUGCCAUAGAUCACAUUCUUGGAUUUCUGGUGGAGACCAUUUCUUGGUCAAAAAUCGUAGGUGUUAGCCUUCGGUAUUAUUGAAAAUGGUCGUUCAUGGCUAUUUUCGACAAAAAUGGGGUUGUGUGGCCAUUGAUCAUCGACCAGAGGCUCAUACACCUCACCCCACAUAUGUUUCCUUGCCAUAGAUCACAUUCUUGGAUUUCUGGUGGAGACCAUUUCUUGGUCAAAAAUCCGUAGGUGUUAGCCUUCGGUAUUAUUGAAAAUGGUCGUUCAUGGCUAUUUUCGACAAAAAUGGGGGUUGUGUGGCCAUUGAUCAUCGACCAGAGGCUCGUACACCUCACCCACAUAUGUUUCCUUGCCAUAGAUCACAUUCUUGGAUUUCUGGUGGAGACCAUUUCUUGGUCAAAAAUCGUAGGUGUUAGCCUUCGUAUUAUUGAAAAUGGUCGUUCAUGGCUAUUUUCGACAAAAAUGGGGGUUGUGUGGCCAUUUGAUCAUCGACCAGAGGCUCGUACACCUCACCCACAUAUGUUUCCUUGCCAUAGAUCACAUUCUUGGAUUUCUGGUGGAGACCAUUUCUUGGUCAAAAAUCCGUAGGUGUUAGCCUUCGGUAUUAUUGAAAAUGGUCGUUCAUGGCUAUUUUCGACAAAAUGGGGGUUGUGUGGCCAUUGAUCAUCGACCAGAGGCUCGUACACCUCACCCACAUAUGUUUCCUUGCCAUAGAUCACAUUCUUGGAUUUCUGGUGGAGACCAUUUCUUGGUCAAAAAUCCGUAGGUGUUAGCCUUCGUAUUAUUGAAAAUGGUCGUUCAUGGCUAUUUUCGACAAAAAUGGGGGUUGUGUGGCCAUUGAUCAUCGACCAGAGGCUCAUACACCUCACCCCACAUAUGUUUCCUUGCCAUAGAUCACAUUCUUGGAUUUCUGGUGGAGACCAUUUCUUGGUCAAAAAUCCGUAGGUGUUAGCCUUCGUAUUAUUGAAAAUGGUCGUUCAUGGCUAUUUUCGACAAAAAUGGGGGUUGUGUGGCCAUUGAUCAUCGACCAGAGGCUCGUACACCUCACCCCACAUAUGUUUCCUUGCCAUAGAUCACAUUCUUGGAUUUCUGGUGGAGACCAUUUCUUGGUCAAAAAUCGUAGUGUUAGCCUUCGGUAUUAUUGAAAAUGGUCGUUCAUGGCUAUUUUCGACAAAAUGGGGGUUGUGUGGCCAUUGAUCAUCGACCAGAGGCUCGUACACCUCACCCACAUAUGUUUCCUUGCCAUAGAUCACAUUCUUGGAUUUCUGGUGGAGACCAUUUCUUGGUCAAAAAUCGUACGUGUUAGCCUUCGGUAUUAUUGAAAAUGGUCGUUCAUGGCUAUUUUCGACAAAAUGGGGGUUGUGUGGCCAUUGAUCAUCGACCAGAGGCUCGUACACCUCACCCCACAUAUGUUUCCUUGCCAUAGAUCACAUUCUUGGAUUUCUGGUGGAGACCAUUUCUUGGUCAAAAAUCCGUAGGUGUUAGCCUUCGGUAUUAUUGAAAAUGGUCGUUCAUGGCUAUUUUCGACAAAAAUGGGGGUUGUGUGGCCAUUGAUCAUCGACCAGAGGCUCAUACACCUCACCCCACAUAUGUUUCCUUUGCCAUAGAUCACAUUCUUGGAUUUCUGGUGGAGACCAUUUCUUGGUCAAAAAUCCGUAGGUGUUAGCCUUCAGUAUUAUUGAAAAUGGUCGUUCAUGGCUAUUUUCGACAAAAAUGGGGGUUGUGUGGCCAUUGAUCAUCGACCAGAGGCUCAUACACCUCACACACAUAUGUUUCCUUGCCAUAGAUCACAUUCUUGGAUUUCUGGUGGAGACCAUUUCUUGGUCAAAAAUCCUAGGUGUUAGCCUUCAGUUUCAUUGAAAAUGGUCGUUCAUGGCUAUUUUCGACAAAAAUGGGGUUGUGUGGCCAUUGAUCAUCGACCAGAGGCUCGUACACCUCACCCCACAUAUGUUUCCUUGCCAUAGAUCACAUUCUUGGAUUUCUGGUGGAGACCAUUUCUUGGUCAAAAAUCCGUAGUGUUAGCCUUCGUAUUAUUGAAAAUGGUCGUUCAUGGCUAUUUUCGACAAAAAUGGGGGUUGUGUGGCCAUUGAUCAUCGACCAGAGGCUCAUACACCUCACCCACAUAUGUUUCCUUGCCAUAGAUCACAUUCUUGGAUUUCUGGUGGAGACCAUUUCUUGGUCAAAAAUCCGUAGGUGUUAGCCUUCAGUAUUAUUGAAAAUGGUCGUUCAUGGCUAUUUUCGACAAAAAUGGGGGUUGUGUGGCCAUUGAUCAUCGACCAGAGGCUCGUACACCUCACCCCACAUAUGUUUCCUUGCCAUAGAUCACAUUCUUGGAUUUCUGGUGGAGACCAUUUCUUGGUCAAAAAUCGUACGUGUUAGCCUUCAGUAUUAUUGAAAAUGGUCGUUCAUGGCUAUUUUCGACAAAAUGGGGGUUGUGUGGCCAUUGAUCAUCGACCAGAGGCUCGUACACCUCACCCACAUAUGUUUCCUUGCCAUAGAUCACAUUCUUGGAUUUCUGUGGAGACCAUUUCUUGGUCAAAAAUCCGUAGUGUUAGCCUUCGGUAUUAUUGAAAAUGGUCGUUCAUGGCUAUUUUCGACAAAAAUGGGGUUGUGUGGCCAUUGAUCAUCGACCAGAGGCUCAUACACCUCACCCACAUAUGUUUCCUUGCCAUAGAUCACAUUCUUGGAUUUUGGUGGAGACCAUUUCUUGGUCAAAAAAUCGUAGGUGUUAGCCUUCGGUAUUAUUGAAAAUGGUCGUUCAUGGCUAUUUUCGACAAAAAUGGGGGUUGUGUGGCCAUUGAUCAUCGACCAGAGGCUCAUACACCUCACCCCACAUAUGUUUCCUUGCCAUAGAUCACAUUCUUGGAUUUCUGGUGGAGACCAUUUCUUGGUCAAAAAUCGUAGGUGUUAGCCUUCGGUAUUAUUGAAAAUGGGUCGUUCAUGGCUAUUUUCGACAAAAAUGGGGGUUGUGUGGCCAUUGAUCAUCGACCAGAGGCUCAUACACCUCACCCACAUAUGUUUCCUUGCCAUAGAUCACAUUCUUGGAUUUCUGGUGGAGACCAUUUCUUGGUCAAAAAUCCGUACGGUGUUAGCCUUCGGUAUUAUUGAAAAUGGUCAUUCAUGGCUAUUUUCGGACAAAAAUGGGGUUGUGUGGCCAUUGAUCAUCGACCAGAGGCUCAUACACCUCACCCACAUAUGUUUCCUUGCCAUAGAUCACAUUCUUGGAUUUCUGGUGGAGACCAUUUCUUGGUCAAAAAUCCGUAGUGUUAGCCUUCGGUAUUAUUGAAAAUGGUCGUUCAUGGCUAUUUUCGACAAAAAUGGGGGUUGUGUGGCCAUUGAUCAUCGACCAGAGGCUCAUACACCUCACCCACAUAUGUUUCCUUGCCAUAGAUCACAUUCUUGGAUUUCUGGUGGAGACCAUUUCUUGGUCAAAAAUCCGUAGGUGUUAGCCUUCAGUAUUAUUGAAAAUGGUCGUUCAUGGCUAUUUUCGACAAAAAUGGGGGUUGUGUGGCCAUUGAUCAUCGACCAGAGGCUCAUACACCUCACCCCACAUAUGUUUCCUUGCCAUAGAUCACAUUCUUGGAUUUCUGGUGGAGACCAUUUCUUGGUCAAAAAUCCGUAGGUGUUAGCCUUCGGUAUAUUGAAAAUGGUCGUUCAUGGCUAUUUUCGACAAAAAUGGGGGUUGUGUGGCCAUUGAUCAUCGACCAGAGGCUCAUACACCUCACCCCACAUAUGUUUCCUUGCCAUAGAUCACAUUCUUGGAUUUCUGGUGGAGACCAUUUCUUGGUCAAAAAUCCGUAGGUGUUAGCCUCAGUAUUAUUGAAAAUGGUCGUUCAUGGCUAUUUUCGACAAAAUGGGGGUUGUGUGGCCAUUGAUCAUCGACAGAGGCUCAUAACCUCACCCCACAUAUGUUUCCUUGCCAUAGAUCACAUUCUUGGAUUUCUGGUGGAGACCAUUUCUUGGUCAAAAAUCCGUAGGUGUUAGCCUUCGGUAUUAUUGAAAAUGGUCGUUCAUGGCUAUUUUCGGACAAAAUGGGGUUGUGUGGCCAUUGAUCAUCGACCAGAGGCUCGUACACCUCACCCACAUAUGUUUCCUUGCAUAGAUCACAUUCUUGGAUUUCUGGUGGAGACCAUUUCUUGGUCAAAAAUCCGUAGUGUUAGCCUUCGGUAUUAUUGAAAAAUGGUCAUUCAUGGCUAUUUUGGACAAAAAUGGGGUUGUGUGGCCAUUGAUCAUCGACCAGAGGCUCAUACACCUCACCCCACAUAUGUUUCCUUGCCAUAGAUCACAUUCUUUGGAUUUCUGGUGGAGACCAUUUCUUGGUCAAAAAUCGUAGGUGUUAGCCUUCGGUAUUAUUGAAAAUGGUCGUUCAUGGCUAUUUUCGACAAAAAUGGGGGUUGUGUGGCCAUUGAUCAUCGACCAGAGGCUCAUACACCUCACCCACAUAUGUUUCCUUGCCAUAGAUCACAUUCUUGGAUUUCUGGUGGAGACCAUUUCUUGGUCAAAAAUCCGUAGGUGUUAGCCUUCAGUAUUAUUGAAAAUGGUCGUUCAUGGCUAUUUUCAUCAAAAAUGGGGUUGUGUGGCCAUUAUCAUCGACUAGAGGCUCUACACCUCACCCCACAUAUGUUUCCUUGCCAUAGAUCACAUUCUUGGAUUUCUGGUGGAGACCAUUUCUUGGUCAAAAAUCUCGUACGUGUUAGCCUUCGGUAUUAUUGAAAAUGGGUCGUUCAUGGCUAUUUUCGACAAAAUGGGGGUUGUGUGGCCAUUAUCAUCGACCAGAGGCUCAUUACACCUCACCCACAUAUGUUUCCUUGCCAUAGAUCACAUUCUUGGAUUUCUGGUGGAGACCAUUUCUUGGUCAAAAAUCCGUACGUGUUAGCCUUCGGUUUUAUUGAAAAUGGUCAUUCAUGGCUAUUUUCGACAAAAAUGGGGGUUGUGUGGCCAUUGAUAAUCGACCAGAGGCUCAUACACCUCACCCACAUAUGUUUCCUUGCCAUAGAUCACAUUCUUGGAUUUCUGGUGGAGACCAUUUCUUGGUCAAAAUCCGUAUGUGUUAGCCUUCAGGUAUUAUGAAAAUGGUCGUUCAUGGCUAUUUUCGACAAAAAAUGGGGGUUGUGUGGCCAUUGAUCUCGACCAGAGGCUCAUACACCUCACCCACAUAUGUUUCCUUGCCAUAGAUCACAUUCUUGGAUUUUGGUGGAGACCAUUUCUUGUCAAAAAUCCGUAGGUGUUAGCUUCUGUAUUAUGAAAAUGGUCGUUCAUGGCUAUUUUCGACAAAAAUGGGGGUUGUGUGGCCAUUGAUCAUUCGACAGAGGCUCGUACACCUCACCCCACAUAUGUUUCCUUGCCAUAGAUACAUUCUUGGAUUUCUGGUGGAGACCAUUUCUUGGUCAAAAAUCCGUAGUGUUAGCCUUCUGUAUUAUUGAAAAUGGUCGUUCAUGGCUAUUUUCGACAAAAAAUGGGGGUUGUGUGGCCAUUGAUCAUCGACCAGAGGCUCAUACACCUCACCCACAUAUGUUUCCUUGCCAUAGAUCACAUUCUUGGAUUUCUGGUGGAGACCAUUUCUUGGUCAAAAAUCUGUAGUGUUAGCCUUCGUAUUAUUGAAAAUGUCGUUUCAUGGCUAUUUUCGACAAAAUGGGGUUGUGUGGCCAUUGAUCAUCGACCAGAGGCUCCUAACCUCACCCCACAUAUGUUUCCUUGCCAUAGUCACAUUCUUGAUUUCUGGUGGAGACCAUUUCUUUGUCAAAAAUUCGUAGUGUUAGCCUUCGGUAUUAUUGAAAAUGGUCGUUCAUGGCUAUUUUCGACAAAAAUGGGGGUUGUGUGGCCAUUGAUCAUCGACCAGAGGCUCAUACACCUCACCCCACAUAUGUUUCCUUGCCAUAGAUCACAUUCUUGGAUUUCUGGUGGAGACCAUUUCUUGGUCAAAAAUCCGUAGGUGUUAGCCUUCGGUAUUAUUGAAAAUGGUCGUUCAUGGCUAUUUUCGACAAAAAUGGGGGUUGUGUGGCCAUUGAUCAUCGACCAGAGGCUCAUACACCUCACCCCACAUAUGUUUCCUUGCCAUAGAUCACAUUCUUGGAUUUCUGGUGGAGACCAUUUCUUGGUCAAAAAUCCGUAGGUGUUAGCCUUCGGUAUUAUUGAAAAUGGUCGUUCAUGGCUAUUUUCGACAAAAAUGGGGGUUGUGUGGCCAUUGAUCAUCGACCAGAGGCUCAUACACCUCACCCCACAUAUGUUUCCUUGCCAUAGAUCACAUUCUUGGAUUUCUGGUGGAGACCAUUUCUUGGUCAAAAAUCCGUAGGUGUUAGCCUUCGGUAUUAUUGAAAAUGGUCGUUCAUGGCUAUUUUCGACAAAAAUGGGGUUGUGUGGCCAUUGAUCAUCGACCAGAGGCUCAUACACCUCACCCCACAUAUGUUUCCUUGCCAUAGAUCACAUUCUUGGAUUUCUGGUGGAGACCAUUUCUUGGUCAAAAAUCCGUAGUGUUAGCCUUCGUAUUAUUGAAAAUGGUCGUUCAUGGCUAUUUUCGACAAAAAUGGGGGUUGUGUGGCCAUUGAUCAUCGACCAGAGGCUCAUACACCUCACCCCACAUAUGUUUCCUUGCCAUAGAUCACAUUCUUGGAUUUCUGGUGGAGACCAUUUCUUGGUCAAAAAUCCGUAGGUGUUAGCCUUCGUAUUAUUGAAAAUGGUCGUUCAUGGCUAUUUUCGACAAAAAUGGGGGUUGUGUGGCCAUUGAUCAUCGACCAGAGGCUCAUACACCUCACCCCACAUAUGUUUCCUUGCCAUAGAUCACAUUCUUGGAUUUCUGGUGGAGACCAUUUCUUGGUCAAAAAUCCGUAGGUGUUAGCCUUCGGUAUUAUUGAAAAUGGUCGUUCAUGGCUAUUUUUCGACAAAAAUGGGGGUUGUGUGGCCAUUGAUCAUCGACCAGAGGCUCAUACACCUCACCCCACAUAUGUUUCCUUGCCAUAGAUCACAUUCUUGGAUUUCUGGUGGAGACCAUUUCUUGGUCAAAAAUCCGUAGGUGUUAGCCUUCGUAUUAUUGAAAAUGGUCGUUCAUGGCUAUUUUCGACAAAAAUGGGGGUUGUGUGGCCAUUGAUCAUCGACCAGAGGCUCAUACACCUCACCCCACAUAUGUUUCCUUGCCAUAGAUCACAUUCUUGGAUUUCUGGUGGAGACCAUUUCUUGGUCAAAAAUCCGUAGGUGUUAGCCUUCGUAUUAUUGAAAAUGGUCGUUCAUGGCUAUUUUCGACAAAAAUGGGGGUUGUGUGGCCAUUGAUCAUCGACCAGAGGCUCUACACCUCACCCCACAUAUGUUUCCUUGCCAUAGAUCACAUUCUUGGAUUUCUGGUGGAGACCAUUUCUUGGUCAAAAUCCGUAGGUGUUAGCCUUCGUAUUAUUGAAAUGGUCGUUCAUGGCUAUUUUCGACAAAAAUGGGGGUUGUGUGGCCAUUGAUCAUCGACCAGAGGCUCAUACACCUCACCCCACAUAUGUUUCCUUGCCAUAGAUCA